UGAGAAAUUACUAAUGGCCAACAGAAAGAAUGUCAUGGCCAUGUUAUUUCUCACCACCAUUGUGGCGGUGGCGGCCACAAGGCCAGCCGAGACCUAUGGCGUUGCGGAGGAGAACACAUUGAAGAUGGCUACCCCCAGCAGGAAAGGGGUUGACGCUACCUUAGCAACUACACGUGUUGUUGCCGCCGAGAAGUCCAUCAAGAAGGCUGAAAGCGUCACCACACCAGAAGAGGCCGCGGCUGCCAAGCAAGAUGGAGCAAAAUCUGCUUCUGCUGCAUUAAAGUACAAUGCCAUCUCUCAGCAGGCAAAUGGUAAAGGUUCUUCUACCUCCCUAGGCAGGAAAGAAGCAGCCAAUACUUUAGCCGCCGCACACUAUGCCGCCACCGAGAAGUCCAUCAAGAAGGCCGAAACCACCAAGACACCUGCAAAGGUCGUGGCUGCCAAGCGAGACGCAGCAAAGUCUGUUGAUGAUGCAUUAAAGUAUGGUGCCAUCUCUCGGAAAGCAGCUGGUACAAGUUCUUCUACCUCCCCCAAUAAGAAAGAAGGCACCACUGAUGCUGCUAAGAUGUUCACCAAGAAGGCUGAAACCGCUACCACACCUGAAGAGGCCGCGGCUGCCAAGCAAGCUGCAGCCAAGUCUACCGCUGCUGCAUCAAAGUAUGGUGUCAUUUCUCAGCAAGUAGCUGGUACAAGUUCUUCUACCUCCCCUAGCAGGAAAGAAGCUGCCGGUACCUUGGCAGAUGCUCGCAUAGCUGCUGCCGAGAAGUCCAUCAAGAAGGCUGAAACCGCCACAAGACCUGAAGAGGCAGCAUCCGCUAAGAAGGAUGCCACAAAAUCCGAGGCUGAUGCAAUGAAGUACGGGGCCAUCUCUCAGCAGGCCGCCGGCAAAAAUGGUGCCUAAGUGGUGCCUUAAACACCUAUUCACACGCAACAUCAUCUACAUACUACCAUGCAUGCAAAAUAGCAGCAUUCAGAUACCACAUUAUGCUAAUUCUCAUGCAUGCACACUUUGUUUAAACGUUCCCAUUACGAAUCAUGUAUUAAUGUCUUGCUUGUUUUAUUUUUAGUAGUAAGACAUGCUUGACUUGCUUUAAAAAAAAUACAACAAUCGAUGUAUACAUGUAUUAUCUAAAAAUCAGUAAUAUGAGUUCCACCGCAAUUUGUUUCUUUUUGUCAUAAUUUGGGUGCAAUCAAUGCACACAUCCAAUACACAAAAUUGGACGACUCAAUGUGUUGUGGCUCCAUGGAGCGGCGAAUCAUGUUUUAUUGUCUUGCUUGUUUUACUUUUAGUAGUAAUGUCUUGCUGGUCAAUGUAUUAUGGCUCCAUGGAGCGGCAUAAUGAUAUAUGAUAUAUCUUCACUACUUCAAAAAGAACUUAAGGUUUCGUCAUACAUCUUUCCUUCAUCCAUCCUCCCUACGAAUCCUUCCUGUUUUGAUUUUUUUCUCCCAUCUUUGAUUUUUCUCCCCAUUGAUUCUACCUAAAAACCACCUCAAUGUCACAUGUUUACUGUAUAUGUCAAGGCCUCCUUUGGUUCAUAGGGUAGAAAAAAACAUAGGAAUAGGAAAGUCAUAGGAAAUGAGAUGACAUGUAUCUCAAAUCCUAUGAUUGGGAAUAGGAAAGGAGAUGCCCUUUGAUUCACAUCAUAGGAUUUUUUCAUUGAAUCUAGGCUAAUGUUUAUUUUCCUAUGAAAUGUGAAGGAGAGGAAGAAUUCCUCCAUAGGAUUAGGAUUCCAUUCCUACAAACCAAAGGACUCUAAAGGAAUUUUUUCUAUAGAAAUCCUAUCCUAUGAAAUUCUUACAAGAUUCCUCCAAAUCAAAGGAGGCCCAAGUGGUUGUGAUGAGACAGUGGCUGGGCACUUCAGAUUUAUUCCCGUAACUGACUGUCAAAUUGAGUCAUCUGUCGUCCUUUCGAUGAUUGUAAGAAAGUUAUAUGUUUACUGUAUGUGCCAAUUGGUUGUGAUUAUCGUUACCGGCCACAAAGUUAUAUUUUCUUGUCUUAACGAAGGGUUGCAUACAAUGCGUGUAGCUCUUGACGCCUGAUAACCCACAAGUAUAGGGGAUCGCAACAGUUUUUGAGGGUAGAGUAUUCAACACAAAUUUAUAGAUUCGACACAAGGGGAGCCAAAGAAUAUUUGUAAGUAUUAACAGCUGAGUUAUCAAUUCAACCACACCUGGAGAUUAAUUAUCUGCAGCAAAGUGAUCAGUAGCAUAGUAGUAUGAUAGUUUUGAUAGUAGUAGCAACAUCAACAGUAACGGUAAUAGUGGUAGCAAUGGUUUUGUAGCAGUGACAAUAGUAACAGCAGCAGUAGUAACUUAGCAAGAACAAUAUGUACGAAAAUCGUACGCAUUGGAUCGGUGAUUUGUUGGAUGAUAUUCAUCAUGUGACAGUUACAACCUAGGACGAUACGGCACUAGCUCCAGUUCAUAAAUAUAAUGUAGGCAUGUAUUCUAUAAAUAAUCAUACGUGCUUAUGGAAAGAACUUGUAUGACAUCUUUUGUCCUACCCUCCUGUGGCAGCGGUGUCCUAUUGGAAACUAAGGGAUAUUAAGGCCUCCUUUUAAUAGAGAACCAGAACAAAGCAUUAACACACGGUGAAUACAUGAACUCCUCAAACUACGGUCAUCACAGGGAAGUGUCCCGACUAUUGUCACUCCGGGGUUGCCGGAUCAUAACACGUAGUAGGUAACUAUAACUUGCAAGAUUGGAUCUAGAACAUAGAUAUAAUGGUGAUAACAUAAGUCAUAGCAACAUCAAUCUCAGAACAUAAUGGAUACUCGGGAUGAAGCCCUAACAAAACUAACUCAAUUACAUGAUGAAUCUCAUCCAACUCCUCACCGACCAGCGAGCCUACGAAGGAAUUACUCACUCCUGGUGGGGAGCAUCAUGGAAUUGGCGAUGGAGAAGGGUUGGUGAUGACGAAGAUCGAAGACCCCCCUCUCUGGAGCCCCAAACGGACUCCAAAUCUAGCCUCCCGAUGAAGAACAGGAGAUGACGGCGGCUCUGUCUCGUGGAUCGUGAUAAUUCUUUCUUCCUGAUUUUUUCUGGAAAAAUAGGAUUUUAUAGCGUCGGAUUCAGGGCCUGCGGGGCCACCAGGUGGGGACAACCCACCUGGGUGUGCUUGGAGGGGGGGGGCCUGGUGGGUUGUGCCCAUCCAGGUGCCCCCCUCCGGUUGUUCUUGGCUCCAGAAAUUCUCUGUAUUUGUAUAAAAAUUCCUCGCAAAGUUUUGUUCCAAUCCGAAAACUUUUAUUUCUGCACAAAAAAAACACCAUGGUAGUUUUGUUGGAAACAGCGUCAGUCCGGGUUAGUUUCAUUCAAAUCAUGCAAAUUAGAGUGCAAAACAAGAGGAAAGUGUUAGGAAAAGUAGAUACGACGGAGAUGUAUCAACUCCUCCAAGCUUAAACCUUUGCUUGUCCUCAAGCAAUUCAGUUGAUAAACUGAAAGUGAAAAAAAAAUUACGAACUCUUUUGCUCUUGUUUUCAUAAAUAAGCUUAAACAUCACCCAGUGUCGAUGUCAAAACCGGCGGAUCUCGGAUAGGGGGUCCCGAACUGUGCGUCUAGGCGGAUGGUAACAGGAGACAAGGGACACGAUGUUUACCCAGGUUCGGGCCCUCUCGAUGGAGGUAAAACCCUACUCCUGCUUGAUUAAUAUUGAUGAUAUGGGCAGUACAAGAGUAGAUCUACCACGAGAUCAAGGAGGCUAAACCCUAGAAGGUAGCCUAUGGUAUGAUUGUUGUUGUCCUACAGACUAAAACUCUCUGGUUUAUAUAGACACCGGAGAGGGUUAGGGUUACACAGAGUCGGUUACAAUGGUAGGAGAUCUACAUAUCUGUAUCGCCAAGCUUGCCUUCCACGCCAAGGAAAGUCCCUUCCAGACACGGGAAGAAGUCUUCAAUCUUGUAUGUUCAUAGUCCGGGAGUCCGGCUGAAGGUAUCGUCCGGCUAUCCGGACACCCCCUAAUUCAGGACUCCCUUAGAGCCCCCGAACCAGGCUUCAAUGACGACGAGUCUGGCACGCAAAUUGUCUUCGGCAUUGCAAGGCGGGUUCUCCUUCAAUUUCUGUGUACCUGCUGAAUAAUGUCCGGUUUCUUAUAAAUGUAGCGCUCCUCGGCUUCCACGCCCAAUAAUGGCCGUCUUCCACGUGUCAAAUGAAUACGAAAAGUCUGGGUGUUUUUACAUUCACACCCCCAGCCGCGUAAAUGAGCCGCCUAUUUAAAGGGACGGGGAUUUAGAUCCAAACCACACCUUCUCCUCUCCGCGAGUUUCAUCAGAGCGCAUCCGACAAAGGACCGUUCCAUCAUGGCCAGCCGUCGCAGCUCCUCCUCUCGCCCUUCCAGCCCUCAUCCUGGAGAUUGGGAGAGAUGCUCCGUCCCGCACAGCGAGCUAGUGUCGCUUCGGACCAAAGGGAUUUCUUCCUCCGGCCUAUAUGGUCCCGGUUCGAGCCGGACUUGCCACCUAUAAUGGCGGAGAGCAAGUGGAGAGCGCCCCCAAUCCCUCCAAAGGAGAGCGGGUAUGCCUUGUCCCUUAUUUAAUAAGAGGGCUCGGAUUUCCAAUUCAUCCAUUUCUCCGGGGGCUCCUGGAGUUCUAUGGCCUCCAGCUGCACAACCUCACGCCUGUCUCCGUAUUGCAUAUUGCGGGCUUCGUAGCCCUUUGCGAGUUGUUUUUGGGUGUUGAGGCUCAUUUCGCGCUGUGGAAGAGGCUAUUCUGCCUUGUGCCCUGUUCUUAGGAGGGGUCAAUAUAUCAAGUGGGCGGAGCCAAAGUGUGGUGUAUCGCCGGGACCGGAUAUCUAUCCGGAACCCCAAAGAAGGCGUCUGAGGACUGGCCUUCAGAAUGGUUUUAUAUAGAGGACGUCCCGUUGCCGGAUCCUGUUCGGAUCGGCCUCCCUGAGUUCAACAGCGCUCCCCUAAAGAAAAACCUAAGCUGGCGCCCACGGAGCCCUCAGAGAGAAAGUGACAAGGACAUUCUUUACCUGAUGGGCCGGAUAAGAUUAUUAGCUCAUUCCGGACUAACCAUGAUCGGAGUCAUGGCUGCAUGCAUCAUGCGAGGGGUGCAACCGCUUCAGUACAGAGGCCACCCCAUGUGGGACUUCAACGGGGAGGAUGAUGCCACCCGUCACGGCCGUAAGGGGCCGGACUCGGCUACCGCUCUAGUAAAGAUCUUGUCCGCUUUGUACAAGGGAGAAGAGGAGGAAUUUCUCCGCGUCAACCCACAGGGUGGAUUUACCAUGUACAAUCCCCCAAGUUGGGUAAGUGGGCAAUUUUACUUGCACGUCUGUUUUGUAUUCCCAUCAUUAAAUAUAUAGUCUAACGACUUCAACGCAGGAACUGCGCCUGGAAGUAAAGGACAUAAAUAGCCCGCCUCCACAGCCCGAGGACCCAGAGUUGUCCCUCGAUCCGGCCUCCGAAGAGGAUCCGGACUUAUCCAUGGAGUUAAUUGAUGGGGUGUUUUAUCAAUUGAGCAAGGACAAUGCCUUGGUGGCCAUUAAGGCCGAUUACCCGGGGCUGCUCCCGGCCUCCCAGGUAACUGAGACCGAAGUCCUAGCACCUCAAAAAGGGAUCCGCCCUCGCGUGUUUUUCAGUUUCCUGACAACAACCGUGUUUUGCAGGGGAGGUUCUUGAGACGGGAGGCCGAGCCUGCGGCGACUAGCCAACGAGGGGCUACAGGGCCCCGUGGGAUGAAAAGAAGUGCAGUCCGGAUUGAGGCGCCGGCGCAGAGGUAUAGCACGCCUUCUUAUUCCCAGGUGUUAUUCCUUCAAGGCAUAUUAACACUCGUGCUCUUUUCAGGACAAAAAGACCCCGCCGGACUAUAUCUGGAGAGGCUGCCAAUCGCGCCUCCACCAGCCAGGCUCCAAAGCCUGGUCCGGAGACGGAGGCGAACACGAGGCGCGCACCGGACGCUCCUCCAACAGAGGAUGCGGACAGGCUGUCCGCCACUAAUUCCGAGGUGGAGAGUGCCAUGAACCACAGGCGUCGCCGGACAGUUCUUCGCGACGCUUGUUUCUCCCAAGAGGCAUUGGACGCCUUCAAUUCGGGAGAUGCGUACCUCCGUGCCGCUCAAAAUGGUCUAGCCAGAGCCACGGAGCAAUAUGUAAAAGACAUACAGGUGAGAAAAUUUAAUGGUUAUAUAUAUCAGUAGCCCCCGAGACUUGAAACAGUUAGAAGAACUGAUUUAAGGAUCAUUCAUAAUGCAGGUUCUUGCGGAAAAGAAUACCCAACUGUCCCAGGAGCUAGAAGAGUGCAAAGCCCAACUUGAGGCCGCACUAGCCGCGACAGGGGAGCCCAAGGAGACCCCCUCUGGUAAUAUGUGCUUCAAAAAGAGAAGUAUUUUGUGAAGUGCGGCGUUUGUGCAAAUCUGACAAAUGAAAUUGCAGAUGGCGCCGGAUUAGAUCCGGAAAAGCAACAACUCCUACGCCAGCUAAAGGCUGGUGAGAGCGUGCUGACAAAGGUGAGGUGGGAGAAGAACGAUCUCCAAUAUGCCAACACCAAGCUGGGCGUUGAACUGAAAGAUGUUUGUGCCCAGCUGUCGGACUCCGCUAAGGAGAAUCAGCGGCUUCGACGCGGCAUAUUUAGUAAGUGCUUAAACGAACUUUGAAUAAAGAGUUCGACGAGGAAGUCGACUAACGGAGUAAUGUCUGUAGGUAUGCUAACAGGUCGUCCUGCAGAGGAGAUGCCCGGUUCUAUGGGUGACCUUCUUCCCGAGCUCUUGCAACUGCACGAGCGAGUUCGGCAGGUGAUGCAGGGCGUCGCCCAGGCCUUGUGGCCAUCCAUCUCCAUGCCCGAAGGACUUGGAGAGCUUGCAGAGAAGCUGAAGGGAGCGCGGCGGCGCUUCUGAUUGUGGAAGAUAUCGGCCUGCGUCAAGGCGCUAGGGAGGCAUGGGCCAUGGUGAAGACGCGGUACACGAAGGCUGACCCAAACCACAUGGCCGAGGUCGGACCUGUGGGGCCCGAUGGGAAGGAGAUCCCUGUAAGCUUCGUAUACGGCUAAGUAGAAUUGGCCGCAAAGUAUUCCCAGCAGGACUGUAAGCUAGACAGCCUGUUAGAUGGUAUUGAAGAGGAAUACAAUCAGUCAUAAUGACUAUGUAAUUUUAAUUGACAUGUGUAAUGCCUUCUAGCCAGAUUGUAGAUCAUUUUUCAUGGCCGACCUUUUUGCUUCGACCUCGGGACCUGCGGUCUGGAGUGUGUCCGAAUACCCUUGCGGUUAUAUAAGAACCGGGGUAUGCAUGGAGACUAGGCGUAGGGGUCAUUAGUGCUUGAACAGACAAGUGCCCGACUAGUUAUGUUAUAUUACAUGGUUAGUAAGAAACAUCUUCCAGGGAGAAUAGUUCCGUUAGGGGUUCCUUUCCCUGGGAGGCAUGCCCUAAAGUGCAUGUCCAUUCUGCGAAAAAGAGACGCAGGAAAAAACAUCUGGGGGCGCAUAGAUAAAUAAGUGAAAAAAUCAUCUUUAGUUCACCGACCGAAUAUUUCCUUAAGAACGCUAGCUUUCGGCUUCACCCAGUCUGAGGUACACAUCGGGCUGACCCGGCAGUAACAAUCGCAGAGGUGCUCCCUUUACCACCUAGCCGAACAAUCGGGAACAUAGGGGUAAGCACAGGAGCCAGGCAACCCAGCUUGGCCAAAAAUUAAGUCAUAUCGAUGCAUAUGAUGGUGAAUAAAAGGUACAUGCGGAAGUGUGACACAUGUGUUGGGCAUGAAGCCCGUAUAAGCUUCUGUUCAAAGAAGCCCCCAGGUUUAGUGAGCGUGGAUAGCGCGUCACUUGAUGAGCCUUUAAAGGCUAUAAGAGAAAGGAGGGGGAGAAGGAGAAAAUGGAAGACAGAAAAUAUAAAAAAUGGACAGAGGAAGGAGACGAACAUAGAGUCCGGCGCUAGGCAUAGAAUCUUCGGAGACGGGCUGCGUUCCAUGGGUUCGGUUCGAGUCGGUUAUCCGAUGCAUCUCGCAGGCGGUAUGCUCCACCAGUCAGGACUUGGUCAAUUAUGAAGGGACCUUCCCACUUGGGCUGGAGUUUGUCCUUUUUCUUGUCCGGCAGGCGUAGAACUAGUUCGCCAACAUUGUAAUUUUUGGCCCGUACUUCUCUGCUUUGAUAUCUUCGAGCCUGCUGUUGAUAGAAUGCGGAACGGGCUUUUGCCACGUCACGCUCCUCCUCCAAGGCAUCUAAACUGUCCUGCCGAUCGAGCUCGGCUUCUCUUUCUUCGUACAUGCGCACUCAAGGUGAGUCAUGAAUUAUAUCGCAGGGCAAAACUGCUUCUGCACCGUACACCAUGAAGAAUGGUGUGUAUCCGGUGGUGCGAUUCGACGUGGUCCGCAGCCCCCAGAGUACGGAGUCGAGCUCCUCUACCCAGUGCGUGUUAGAUUCCUUAAGGUACCGCACUAAUCUGGGUUUGAUGCCGCUCAUGAUAAGACCAUUUGCGUGUUCGACCUGUCCGUUAGUUUGUGGGUGAUAGACGGAAGCAUAAUCGAGCUUGAUGCCCAUGUUUUUGCACCAGAGUUUUACCUCAUCGACCGUAAAGUUCGUACCGUUAUCAGUGAUGAUGCUGUGGGGGACGCCGUAACGGUGUACGACCCCCGAUAUAAAGUCUAUCACCGGUCCGGAUUCGGCCGUCUUAAUAGGCUUGGCCUCUAUCCAUUUGGUGAACUUAUCCACCAUGACCAGUAAGUAUUUUUUCUUCUGGGUUCCGCCUUUAAGGGGUCCAACCAUGUCAAGCCCCCAGACCGCGAAGGGCCAAGUGAUGGGGAUAGUUUGGAGGGCGGUGGGUGGCAUAUGGCUUUGGUUUGGCAAAAGCUGGCAACCGACGCAUCGUUGGACUAAGUCCUGAGCGUCUGCCCGGGCCGUUGGCCAAUAAAAGCCUGUACGGAAAGUCUUGCUUACGAGGGACCGAGUUGCGGUGUGAUGACCAUCGAGUCCGGCAUGAAUUUCAGCCAGCAAGUUCCGCCCAUCCUCCUCGGAGAUGCACCUUUGAAGGACUCCGGUAGUGCUUUUCUUAUAAAGCUCUCCCUCAUGGACUUUAUAGGCUUUAGAUCGCCGCACUAUGCAGCGUGCCUCAUUUUGGUCUUCUGGGAGUUCCUGCCUAGUAAGGUAGGCUAGGAAUGGUUCUGUCCACGGGGCGAUGACCGCCAUUAUUACGUGGGCUGAAGAUGUGACUUCAUUGGCAGAAUCUCCAAUUAUGUCAGUGUUGGGUAACGUAGCAGAAAUUCAAAAUUUUCCUACGUGUCACCAAGAUCUAUCUAUGGAGAAACCAGCAACGAGGGGAAGGAGAGUGCAUCUACAUACCCUUGUAGAUCGCUAAGCGGAAGCGUUCAAGAGAACGGGGUUGAAGGAGUCGUACUCGUCGUGAUCCAAAUCACCGAUGAUCCUAGUGCCGAACGGACGGCACCUCCGCGUUCAACACACGUACAGCCCGGUGACGUAUCCCACGCCUUGAUCCAGCAAGGAGAGAGGGAGAGGUUGAGGAAGACUCCAUCCAGCAGCAGCACAACGGCGUGGUGGUGGUGGAGGAGCGUGGCAAUCCUGCAGGGCUUCGCCAAGCACCACGGGAGAGGAGGAAGGAGAGAUGCAGGGCUGCGUCAUAUAGAAGAGAGGAACUCGCGUCUUAUGAGCAGCCCAAACCUCAACUAUAUAUAGGGGAAGGGGAGAGGCUGCGGCCCCUUUAGGGUUUCCACCCCUAGGGGUGGCGGCCAGCCUAGAUCCCAUCUAAGGGAGGCGGCCAAGGGGGAGGGGGAGAGGGAGGCGCACCAGGAUGGGCCUUAGGGCCCAUCUGCCCUAGGGUUUGCCCCCUUCUCCUCUCCCUUGCACCUUGGGCCCUUGUGGGGGGGGGGGCGCACCAGCCCACCUGGGGCUGGUCCCCUUCCACACUUGGCCCAUGAAGCCCUCCGGGGCUGGUUUGCCCCACUUGGUGGACCCCCGGGACCCUCCCGGUGGUCCCGGUACGUCACCGAUAAACCCCGAAACUUUUCCGGUGACCAAAACAGGACUUCCCAUAUAUAAAUGUUUACCUCCGGACCAUUCCAGAACUCCUCGUGACGUCCGAGAUCUCAUCCGGGACUCCGAACAACAUUCGGUAACCACAUACAAACUUCCUUUAUAACCCCAGCGUCAUCGAACCUUAAGUGUGUAGACCCUACGGGUUUGGGAGACAUGCAGACAUGACCGAGACGUUCUCUGGUCAAUAACCAAUAGCGGGAUCUGGAUACCCAUGUUGGCUCCCACAUGUUCCACGAUGAUCUCAUCGGAUGAACCACGAUGUCAAGGACUUAAUCAAUCCCGUAUACAAUUCCCUUUGUCUAUCGGUACGAUACUCGCCCGAGAUUCGAUCGUCGGUAUCCCGAUACCUUGUUCAAUCUCAUUACCGGCAAGUCUCUUUACUCGUUCCGUAACACAUCAUCCCGUGAUCAACUCCUUGAUCACAUUGUGCACAUUAUGAUGAUGUCCUACCGAGUGGGCCCAGGGAUACCUCUCCGUCACACGGAGUGAUAAAUCCCAGUCUCGAUUCGUGCCAACCCAACAGACACUUUCAGAGAUACCCGUAGUGUACCUUUAUAGCCACCCAGUUACCUUGUGACGUUUGGCACACCCAAAGCACUCCUACGGUAACCGGGAGUUGCACAAUCUCAUGGUCUAAGGAAAUGAUACUUGACAUUAGAAAAGCUUUAGCAUACGAACUACACGAUCUAGUGCUAUGCUUAGGAUUGGGUCUUGUCCAUCACAUCAUUUUCCUAAUGAUGUGAUCCCGUUAUCAACGACAUCCAAUGUCCAUGGUCAGGAAACCGUAACCAUCUAUUGAUCAACGAGCUAGUCAACUAGAGGCUUACUAGGGACAUGGUGUUGUCUAUGUAUCCACACAUGUAUCUGAGUUUCCUAUCAAUAUAAUUCUAGCAUGGAUAAUAAACGAUUAUCAUGAACAAGGAAAUAUAAUAAUAAUCAAUUUAUUAUUUCCUCUAGGGCAUAUUUCCAACAGUCUCCCACUUGCACUAGAGUCAAUAAUCCAGUUCACAUCGUUAUGUGACUAACACUCAAGGUCACAUCCCCAUGUGACUAACACCCAAAGAGUUUACUAGAGUCAAUAAUCUAGUUCACAUUUACCAUGUGAUUAACACUCGAUGAGUUCUGGGUUUGAUCAUGUUAUGCUUGUGAGAGAGGUUAUAGUCAACGGGUCUGAACCUUUCAGAUCCGUGUGUGCUUUACAAAUCUCUAUGUCAUCUCCUAGAUGCAGCUACCACGCUCUAUUUGGAGCUAUUCCAAAUAACUGUUCUACUAUACGAAUCCAGUUUACUACUCAGAAUAAUCUGGAUUAGUGUCAAAGUUUGCAUCGGCGUAACCCUUUACGACGAACUCUUUUACCACCUCCAUAAUCGAGAAAAUUCCUUAGUCCACUAGUUACUAAGGAUAACUUUGAUCGCUGUCCUGUGAUCCAUUCUUGGAUCACUCUUGUACCCCUUGACUGACUCAUGGCAAGGCACACUUCAGGUGCGGUACAUAGCAUAGCAUACUGUAGAGCCUAUGUCUUAAGCAUAGGGGACGACCUUCGUUCUUUCUCUCUAUUCUGCCGUGGUCAAGCUUUAAGUCUUAACUUCAUACCUUACAACUCAGGCAAGAACUCCUUCUUUGACUGAUCCAUCUUGAACACCUUCAAGAUCAUGUCAAGGAAUGUGCUCAUUUGAAAGUACCAUUAAGUGUUUUGAUCUAUCCUUAUAGAUCUUGAUGCUCAAUGUUCAAAUAGCUUAAUCCAGGCUUUCCAUUGAAAAAACACUUUCCAAAUAACCCUAUAUGCUUUCCAGAAAUUCUACGUCAUUUCUGAUCAACAAUAUGUCAACAACAUAUAUUCAUCAGAAAUUCUAUAGUGCUCCCACUCACUUCUUUGGAAAUACAAGUUUCUCAUAAACUUCGUAUUCACCCAAAAUCUUUGAUCAUCUCAUCAAAGCAUACAUUCCAACUCGAGAUGCUUACUCCAGUACUUAGAAGGAUUGCUGGAGCUUUGCAUACUUAUUAGCAUAUUUCAGGAUUGACAAAACCUUCCGGUUGUAUCACAUACAACCUUUCCUCAAAAAUCAUCGAGGAAACAAUGUUUUGACAUCCUAUCUGCAAGAUUUCAUAAAUGAUGCAGUAAUUGCUAAUAUAAUUCCAACAGACUCUUAGCAUCGCUACGAGUGAGAAAGUCUCAUCGUAGUCAACUCCUUGAACUUGUCGGAAAACAUCUUAAUGACAAGUCGAGCUUUCUUAAUGGUGAUACUUACCAUCAUUGUCCGUCUUCCUUUUAAAAUCCAUAUGUACCUAACAGCCUUACGACCAUCAAGUUGUUCUUCCAAAGUCUACACUUUGUUUUCACAUAUGGAUCCUCUCUCGGAUUAUAUGGCCUUGAGCCAUUUUGGAAUCCAGGCCCACCAUUGCUCCUCCAUAGCUCGUAGGUUCAUUGUUGUCUAGCAACAUGACUUCCAAGACAGGAUUACGUACCAUUCUAAAGCAGUACACAUCCUUGUCAUCCCACGAGGUUUGGUAGUGACUUGAUCUGAAGUUUCAUGAUCACUAUCAUAAGCUUCCACUUCAAUUGGUGUAGGUGCCACAGGAACAACUCCCUGUGCCCUGCCACACACUAGUUGAAGAGAUGGUUCAAUAACCUCAUCAAGUCUCCACCAUCCUCCCACUCAAUUCUUUCGAGAGAAACUUUUCCUCGAGAAAGGACCCGAUUCUAGUAACAAUCCCUUAUUGCUUUCGAAUCUGAGACAGGAGGUAUACCCAACUGUUUUGGGUGUCCUAUGAAGAUGUAUUUAUCCGCUUUGGGUUCGAGCUUAUCGACCUGAAACUUUUUCACAUAAGCGUCGCAGCCCCAAACUUUUAAGAAAUGACAGCUUAGGUUUCUCUAAACCAUAGUUCAUACGGUGUCAUCUCAUCGGAAUUACGUGGUGCCCUAUUUAAAGUGAAUGUGGUUGUCUCUAAUGCCUAACCCAUAAACUAUUGUGGUAAUUCGAUAAGAGACAUCAUGGUAUGCAUCAUAUCCAAUAGGGUGCAGUUAUGAUGUUCGGACACACCAUCACACUAUGGUGUUCCAGGCUGUAUCAGUUGUGAAACAAUUUCCACAAUGUCUUAAUUCUGUGCCAAACUCGUAAUUCAGAUAUUCAUCUCUAUGAUCAUAUCAUAGAUAUUUUAUCCUCUUGUCACGAUGAUCUUUCAACUUCACCCUGAAAUUACUUGAACCUUUCAAUAAUUCAAACUCAUGAUUCAUCAAGUAAAUAUACUCAACAUCUACUCAAAUCAUCUGUGAAGUAAGAACAUAACGAUAUCCACUACAUUCCUCAGCACUCAUUGGACUGCACACAUCAAAAUGUAUUACUUCCAACAAGUUGCUUUCUAGUUCCAUUUUACUGAAACCGAGGCUUUCAGUCAUCUUGCCCAUGUGGUAUGAUUUGCAUGUCUCAAGUGAUUCAAAAUCAAGUGAGUCCAAAUGGUCCAUUUGCAUGGAGUUUCUUCAUGCAUAUACACCAAUAGACAUGGUUCGCAUGUCUCAAACUUUUCAAAAAUGAGUGAGCCCAAAGAUCCAUCAACAUGGAGCUUCUUCAUGCGUUUUAUACUGAUAUGACUUACGUGGCAGUGCCACAAGUAGGUGGUACUAUCAUUACUAUCUUAUAUCUUUUGGCAUGAACAUGUGUAUCACUACGAUCAAGAUUCAAUAAACCAUUCAUUUUAGGUGCAAGACCAUUGAAGGUAUUAUUCAAAUGAACAGAGUAACCAUUAUUCUCCUUAAAUGAAUAGCCGUAUCGCGAUAGACAUAAUCCAAUCAUGUCUAUGCUCAACGCAAACACCAAAUAACAAUUAUUUAGGUUUAACACCAAUCUCGAUGGUAGAGGGAGCGUGCGAUGCUUGAUCAUAUCAACAUUGGAAACACUUCCAACACAUAUCGUCAGCUCACCUUUAGCUAGUCUCCGUUUAUUCCGUAGCUUUUAUUUCAAGUUACUAACACUUAGCAACCGAACCGGUAUCUAAUACCCUGGUGCUACUAGGAGUACCAGUAAAGUACACAUUAACACAAUGUAUAUCCAAUAUACUUCUAUCGACCUUGCCAGCCUUCUCUUCUACCAAGUAUCUAGGGUAAUUCUGCUCCAGUGGCUGUUCCCCUUAUUACAGAAGCACUUAAUUAGUCUCGGGUUUGGGUUCAACCUUGGGUUUCUUCACUAGAGCAGCAGCUAAUUUGCCGUUUCAUGAAGUAUCCCUUCUUGCCCUUGCCCUUCUUGAAACUAGUGGUUUCACCAACCAUCAACAAUUGAUGCUCCUUCUUGAUUUCUACUUUUGUGGUGUCAAACAUCGCGAAUAUCUCAAGGAUCAUCAUAUAUGUCCCUGAUAUAUUAUAGUUCAUCACGAAGCUCUAGCAGCUUGGUGGUAAUGACUUCGGAGAAACAUCACUUUCUCAUCUGGAAGAUCAACUCCCACUCGAUUCAAAUGAUUGUUGUACUCAGACAAUCUGAGCACAAGCUCAACAAUUGAGCUUUUCUCCCUUAGUUUGCAGGCUAAGAAAAUUGUCGGAGGUCUUAUACCUCUUGACAUGGGCACGAGCCUGAAAUCCAAAUUUCAGCCCUCGAAACAUCUCAUAUGUUUUGCGACGUUUCAAAACGUCUUUGGUGCCUCAACUCUAAACCGUUUAACUGAACUAUCACGUAGUUAUGAAAAUGUGUAUGUCAGAUGUUCGCAACAUCCACAGACAACGUUCGAGGUUCAGCACACUGAGCGGUGCAUUAAGGACAUAAGCCUUCUAUGAAGCAAUGAGGACAAUCCUCAGUUUACGGACCUAGUCCGCAUAAUUGCUACUAUCAACUUUCAACUAUUUUUUUUUCUCUAGGAACAUAUCUAAACAGUAGAACUAAAGCGCGAGCUACGACAUAAUUUGCAAAAUCCUUUUGACUAUGUUCAGGAUAAACAAGUUCAUCUUAUGAACUUCCACUCAGAUAGAUAUCCCUCUAGUCAUCUAAGUGAUUACAUGAUCCGAGUCAACUAGGCCGUGUUCGAUCAUCACGUGAGACGGACUAGUCAUCAUCGGUGAACAUCUUCAUGUUGAUCGUAUCUACCAUACGACUCAUGCUCGACCUUUCGGUCUCUUGUGUUCCGAGGCCAUGUCUGUACAUGCUAGGCUCAUCAAGUCAACCUAAGUGUUUCGCGUGUGUAAAUCUGUCUUACACCCGUUGUAUGUGAACGUUAGAAUCUAUCACGCCCGAUCAUCACGUGGUGCUUCGAAACGACGAACUUUCGCAACGGUGCAUAGUUAGGGGGAACACUUUCUUGAAAUUUUAAUGAGGGAUCAUCUUAUUUACUACUGUCGUUCUAAGCAAAUAAGAUGUAUAAACAUGAUAAACAUCACAUGCAAUCAAAUAGUGAUAUGAUAUGGCCAAUAUCAUAGUGCUCCUUUUGAUCUCCAUCUUCGGGGCUCCAUGAUCAUCAUCACCGGCAUGACACCAUGAUCUCCAUCAUCAUGAUCUCCAUCAUCGUGUCUUCAUGAAGUUGUCUCGCCAACUAUUACUUCUACUACUACAGCUAACUGUUAGCAAUAAAGUGAAGUAAUUACAUGGCGUUGUUUAAUGACACGCAGGUCAUAUAAUAAAUUAAGACAACUCCUAUGGCUCCUGCCGGUUGUCAUACUCAUCGACAUGCAAGUCGUGAUUCCUAUUACAAGAACAUGAUCAAUCUCAUACAUCACAUAUCAUUCAUCACAUUCUUCUUGGCCAUAUCACAUCACAUAGCAUACCCUGCAAAAACAAGUUAGACGUCCUCUAAUUGUUGUUUGCAUGUUUUACGUGGCUGCUAUGGGUUUCUAGCAAGAACGUUUCUUACCUACGCAAAACCACAACGUGAUAUGCCAAUUGCUAUUUACCCUUCAUAAGGACCCUUUUCAUCGAAUCCGAUCCGUCUAAAGUGGGAGAGACAAACACCCGCCAGCCACCUUAUGCAACUAGUGCAUGUUUGUCGAUGGAACCGGUCUCACGUAAGCGUAUGUGUAAGGUUGGUCCGGGCCGCUUCAUCCCACAAUGCCGCCGAAUCAAGAUUGGACUAGUAACGGUAAGCAUAUUGAACAAAAUCAACGCCCACAACUACUUUGUGUUCUACUCGUGCAUAGAAUCUACGCAAUAGACCUAGCUCAUGAUGCCACUGUUGGGUAACGUAGCAGAAAUUCAAAAUUUUCCUAUGUGUCACCAAGAUCUAUCUAUGGAGAAACCAGCAACGAGGGGAAGGAGAGUGCAUCUACAUACCCUUGUAGAUCGCUAAGCAGAAGCGUUCAAGAGAACGUGGUUGAAGGAGUCGUACUCGUCAUGAUCCAAAUCACCGAUGAUCCUAGUGCCGAACGGAUGACACCUCUGCGUUCAACACACGUACAGCCCGGUGACGUAUCCCACGCCUUGAUCCAGCAAGGAGAGAGGGAGAGGUUGAGGAAGACUCCAUCCAGCAGCAGCACAACGGCGUGGUGGUGGUGGAGGAGCGUGGCAAUCCUGCAGGGCUUCGCCAAGCACCACGGGAGAGGAGGAAGGAGAGAUGCAGGGCUGCGUCAUAUAGAGGAGAGGAACUCGCGUCUUAUGAGCAGCCCAAACCUCAACUAUAUAUAGGGGAAGGGGAGGGGCUGCGACCCCUUUAGGGUUUCCACCCCUAGGGGUGGCGGCCAGCCUAGAUCCCAUCUAAGGGAGGCGGCCAAGGGGGAGGGGGAGAGGGAGGCGCACCAGGAUGGGCCUUAGGGCCCAUCUGCCCUAGGGUUUGCCCCCUUCUCCUCUCCCUUGCGCCUUGGGCCCUUGUGGGGGGGGGCGCACCAGCCCACCUGGGGCUGGUCCCCUUCCACACUUGGCCCAUGAAGCCCUCCGGGGCUGGUGGCCCCACUUGGUGGACCCCCGGGACCCUCCCGGUGGUCCCGGUACGUUACCGAUAAACCCCAAAACUUUUCCGGUGACCAAAAUAGGACUUCCCAUAUAUAAAUCUUUACCUCCGGACCAUUCCGGAACUCCUCGUGACGUUCGGGAUCUCAUUCGGGACUCCGAACAACAUUCGGUAACCACAUACAAACUUCCUUUAUAACCCCAGAGUCAUCGAACCUUAAGUGUGUAGACCCUACGGGUUCGGGAGACAUGCAGGCAUGACCGAGACGUUCUCCGGUCAAUAACCAACAGCGGGAUCUGGAUACCCAUGUUGGCUCCCACAUGUUCCACGAUGAUCUCAUCGGAUGAACCACGAUGUCAAGGACUUAAUCAAUCCCGUAUACAAUUCCCUUUGUCUAUCGGUAUGAUACUCGCCCGAGAUUCGAUCGUCGGUAUCCCGAUACCUUGUUCAAUCUCGUUACCGGCAAGUAUCUUUACUCGUUCCAUAACACAUCAUCCCGUGAUCAACUCCUUGAUCACAUUGUGCACAUUAUGAUGAUGUCCUACCGAGUGGGCCCAGAGAUACCUCUCCGUCACACGGAGUGACAAAUCCCAGUCUCGAUUCGUGCCAACCCAACAGACACUUUCGGAGAUACCCGUAGUGUACCUUUAUAGCCACCCAGUUACGUUGUGACGUUUGGCACACCCAAAGCACUCCUACGGUAACCGGGAGUUGCACAAUCUCAUGGUCUAAGGAAAUAUUGACAUUAGAAAAGCUUUAGCAUACGAACUACAUGAUCUAGUGCUAUGCUUAGGAUUGGAUCUUGUCCAUCACAUCAUUCUCCUAAUGAUGUGAUCCCGUUAUCAACGACAUCCAAUGUCCAUGGUCAGGAAACCGUAACCAUCUAUUGAUCAACGAGCUAGUCAACUAGAGGCUUACUAGGGACAUGGUGUUGUCUAUGUAUCCACACAUGUAUCUGAGUUUCCUAUCAAUACAAUUCUAGCAUGGAUAAUAAACGAUUAUCAUGAACAAGGAAAUAUAAUAAUAAUCAAUUUAUUAUUGCCUCUAGGGCAUAUUUCCAACAGUCAGAUUGUUCGGUGUUGGGCAGUGCGGUUGAGUCCGGGCUGUUAUUGCCGGGUUCCCCUUCCCAUACUACGGACGGCUUGAAUAGCCUUUCCAAGAAGAUGUUGGGAGGGACUGCAUCGCGUUUUGCGCCGAUGCGUGCCAGGACAUCCGCCGCCUGAUUAUUUUCCCGGGCUAUAUGGUGAAAUUCGAGCCCUUCGAACUGAGCUGACAUUUUUAAGACGAUGUUGCGAUAAGCUGCCAUUUUUGGAUCCUUGGCAUCGAAGUCUCUGUUUAUUUGGGACAUUGCGAGGUUCAAAUCCCCUCGCACUUCUAGGCGUUGAAUACCCAUGGAUACUGCCAUCCAGAGACCAUGUAAGAGGGCCUCGUAUUCGGCUGCAUUGUUGGAGUCUGUGUACAUAAUCUGGAGUACAUAUUGAACUGUGUCUCCUGUGGGGGACGUCAAAACGACGCCAGCCCCCAGACCGGCCAACAUUUUGGAGCCGUCGAAAUGCAUGAUCUAGUUUUAAUAUGUGCCGUACUCUUCAGGGAGUUCGGCCUCCGUCCAUUCUGUGACGAAGUCAGCCAAAACUUGCGACUUGAUAGCUCGCCGUGGCUUAUAAGUUAUGUCGAACGGGAGGAGCUCGAUGGCCCAUUUCGCAAUCCGGCCCGUUGCGUUGCGGUUCUUUAUAAUAUCGUUUAGUGGUACUUCUGAGGCUACUAUUAUUGAACACUCUUGAAAGUAGUGUCGCAGCUUCCGGGAUGCCAUGAAUACCGCGUACGCAAUCUUUUGAUAAUGUGGGUACCUUGAUUUGCACGGAGUGAGGACAGUGGACACAUAAUAGACCGGCUUCUGAAGGGGGAAUUUGUGUCCGUCGUUUCUCGUUCGACGACGAGCACUGCGCUCAGAACCUGAUGGGUUGCUGCAAUGUAUAAUAGCAUUGGUUCGCCAAUGUUUGGCGCGGCCAGGACUGGGUUUGUUGCCAAUAUGGCUUUUAUUUCGUCGAGUCCGGCCGUGGCUGCGUCCGUCCACUCGAAGUGUUCGGUGCGCCUAAGGAGGCGGUAAAGGGGGAGUGCCUUUUCUCCCAAGUGGGAGAUAAAGCGGCUUAGAGCCGCCACACAUCCGGUUUACUUUUGUAUUUGUUUGAGGUCCUUUGGGAUAUUCAAUUGUGACAGAGCUCGGAUCUUGGCUGGAUUUGCUUCAAUUCCUCUACCGAAUACAAUGAAGCCCAAGAGCUUUCCGGCUGGAACGCCGAAAACGCAUUUUUCUGGGUUGAGCUUGAUGUCGUAUGUUCGGAGGUUAUCAAAUGUGAGCCUCAAGUCAUCUACUAGGGAUUCGACAUGUCUUGUUUUUACGACCACAUCAUCUACAUAUGCCUCCACUGUUUUGCUGAUCUGGUUUGCCAGACAUGUCUGAAUCAUGCGCUGAUAUGUUGUUUUGAGCCCGAAGGGCAUUGUGUUGAAGCAGAAUGGGCCGUAUGGUGUGAUCAAUGUCGUUGCGGCUUGGUCUGAUUCUGCCAUCUUGAUUUGAUGGUAGCCGGAAUAUGCGUCGAGCAAGCACAACGAAUCGUGUCCUGCAGUAGCGUCGAUAAUUUGAUCCAUGCGGGGGAGGGGAAAGGGAUCCUUUGGGCAAGCCUUAUUAAGGUCUUUAAAAUCAACGCACAAGUGCCAGGAUUUGUCCUUCUUUGGUACCAUCACUAGGUUUGCUAGCCAGUCCGGAUGUUUUAUAUCUCUGAUGGAUCCGGCCUCUAAUAGCUUGGCUAGCUCCUCUCCCAUGGCCUGUCUCUUAGGUUCGGAAAAACGCCGAAGAGCCUGUUUGACAGGUUUGAAUCCUUUAGGAUAUUUAAGCUGUGUUCGGCCAGCCUGCGUGGGAUUCCUGGCAUGUCUGAAGGGUGCCAGGCGAAAAUGUCCUAGUUCUCACGUAGGAACUCUCGCAGUGCGGCGUCUACAUCAGGGUUUAAUUGUGCACCGAUGGAAGCUGUUUUAUUGGGGUCCGUUGGAUGGACCUGGAAUUUGACUAUUUUGUCCGCUGGUUUAAAUGAGAUGGACUUGGAUCUUUUGUCGAGUAUCACAUCAUCCCUGUUCACCGUGGAGCGCAGCGCAGUCAGCUCCUCAGCCGCUAGGGCUUAGGAUAGUGCCUCAAGGGCCAGUGCGGCUGUCUUAUUUUAGGCGCGGAGUGCUAUGUCCAGAUCACUAGCGAGAGUGAUGAUUCCGUUCGGCCCGGGCAUCUUGAGUUUCAUGUACCCAUAAUGGGGUAUUGCUUGGAAGAUUGUGAACGCUUCCCGCCCUAGCAGAGCGUGGUAUCCGCUACUGAACGGGACCACUUGGAACGUGACCUCCUCGGACCUGUAAUUAUCCGGCGUGCCGAACACCACAUCUAGUGUGAUUUUUCCUGUACAGCACGCUUCCUGACUGGGGAUUAUUCCUCUAAAGGUUGUGCUGCUUCGCUCAAUGCGGUUCCAGUCUAUUUCUAGUUUUUGAAGGGUUUCCUCAUAAAUGAGGUUCAAUCCGCUGCCUCCAUCCAUGAGUACCUUGGUAAGGCGAAAGCCAUCCACUAUUAGACUGAGGACCAAUGUGGCUGGUGCUCGGGCUGUUCGGAAUUUAGGUUCAUCACUGGCAUUAAAAGUAAUAGCCGUGUCACUCCAUGGGUUUAUUGUUGCUACUUGGUAGACUUCGACAAGGCUGCGGAGUGUUCUUUUUCGCAUAUUAUUUGAUGCGAAAGUCUCGAAGACUGUUAAUACCGUACCGGUAUCCCUGGGGUGGCUUUCUAUGGCCUCCGGAAUUAGGAGAUCUUCACCAAUUUUGGCCACCUGCCGGAGUAUCCAACAUGCUCUAAGGCUGUGAGUUGGUGUGGCGCCCUCUGUACUAUGAAUUUUACAGGGUCGAUUAAGCCAUCCUUCCAAUAUGCUUCCAUGCCCUGUAGAGGGUUUUUGCUUUUUGGUGUUUAACCGGGUGUCUGGCGAAGAUGCACCCUUUUAUUUCGGACUGGGUUUGUAUUCAGGGCCGGAUUGUCCCAAAAUUUUAUUUCGGUUUUCCAGGCGCUAUCCAUCGCACAGUACUUUCGUACUAUGGACACCAAGUCAGCGAAGCAUGUAAUAUCACGGCGACUUAUGGCGUUGAGGAUUCCCUUGUCCAUGCAAUUAUUGCAGAAGAAUGAGAUUGCGUCUUCCUCGCGGCAGUCCUUGAUCCUGUUCAUAGCCAGGAGGAAUCUGGCCCAGUAAUGAUGUACUGUUUCUUUGGGUUUUUGCCUAAUUUGGGAUAGAUCGCUUAUGUUCGGGUGGGUGGGUGGAAUUAAAUCCGAAACCUGACCCGAUCUGAGACUCAGAGGCCAAGGAGAUUCCGAACUCGGAAGUUUGGAUUCUUGGAUGUUGUCCAAUGAGUCUAGCCCGUCGCCUGACUCUAAGUUCAGGUCUUGAGUGAUGUCCUCCCCUCCGCGGGUAUCCGACUUGGAGGGAUCGGGAAUCCGGACAUAACUAGUCCUUAAGAUAGAUGAAGGGUCACCGCACUGUCCCUCUACCAUAGCAAUGUGAUGGGUGACCUGGGGAGAGUUAAUCUCUCUUAGAUCGGGUUUAGGCCCAAUCUGGUCAUAAUCCGUGGCAACUCCCAGGGCGGCGACGCGAUCCAAGAGCUCGUUUAUGGAAGAGAGCUCCAUUGUAUCUAACUGCUCGGCGAGUUCCGAGAUGACAUGAAGACUGCUUUUGAUGACCCGAGAGGUCAUCGUCGGCGCAGCAGCCGAACAGGCGGUCAUAAGAAAACCGCCUAGCCGGAGAGUUUGGCCGACAGCCAAAGCUCCCUUAGCAACGGUUCCGUCUUUAAAGACGGGAUGAGGCAUCCUUCCUGAUGGCGACGGCACAGAGGAACUCUCAAUGUAAGCACCAAUAUCGGUGUCAAAACCGGCGGAUCUCGGGUAGGGGGUCCCGAACUGUGCGUCUAGGCGGAUGGUAACAGGACACAAGGGACACGAUGUUUACCCAGGUUCGGGCCCUCUCGAUGGAGGUAAAACCCUACUCCUGCUUGAUUAAUAUUGAUGAUAUGGGUAGUACAAGAGUAGAUAUACCACGAGAUCAAGGAGGCUAAACCCUAGAAGCUAGCCUAUGGUAUGAUUGUUGUUGUCCUACGGACUAAAACCCUUCGGUUUAUAUAGACACCGGAGAGGGUUAGGGUUACACAGAGUCGGUUACAAUGGUAGGAUAUCUACAUAUCCGUAUCGCCAAGCUUGCCUUCCACGCCAAGGAAAGUCCCUUCCGGACAUGGGACGAAGUCUUCAAUCUUGUAUCUUCAUAGUCCGGGAGUCCGGCUGAAGGUAUAGUCCGGCUAUCCAGACACCCCCUAAUCCAGGACUCCCUCACCCAGGUUUUCAGCCAAGAUUAUAACUAACCAUGUCGACAAUAACUCUUAAACAUUAUAGUAACUCUUAUGAGUAGAGGCCGCGGGAAAAAGCCUAGUAGUAGCGCGGAUAAAAGACUAGUAGUAGUGCGGGUGCCCGUGCUACUACUAUGGCGCUACAGCUAACUCGUAGUAGUAGCGCAGGUGCCACCCGUGCUACUAGUACGUGUGUUAGUAAUAGCGCGGAUUCUACACACGCUACUACUAACUAUGUGUAGCGCCUGUCUGUGACCCGCGCUACUACUAUUAAUUUCAAAAACCAAAAAAAAAUCUCGACCCCGUGCAUGUUGUCAAUGGUGUCAUCCAGCGACGACAGGGGUUGCCGGAGGUGUGGACGGGUAGUGGCAGACCAGAUCCGGCGAUGGCUGUUGGAGAUGGCCGGAUCCAGUGUAGAGCAAGACGACGGUGUGAGGAUCCUCUUCGCGGUCAAGGCGGAGAACUCCUGGUUGGCCAUGUCGACGACCUGUGCAGGCAUGGGCAUGGGAGGUGAGUAAAACCAAAGGGAGAGGGAGAGGAGAGGGAGAGGGAAAAAGAGAAACAAGGGAGAAAGGAAGGAGAUGGAGGGCGUAUCGGGGCUGCAUGGAGGCGAGGAGGAAGACGGGCGAGCUCUUGGACGCCAGCGAUGCGAGGAGGAAGACGUUGGGUGCCAUGGAGGAGGAGAUGUUCUUGGGCAGGAGCACCAUGGAGAGAGGGGGAAAGUGAGGGAGAGAGGAGGAAAGUGAGAGAGGGGGAAAGUGAGGGAGAGAGGAGGGAUUCGGCCGAGGAUAUGGAGAUUUCAUCUACCUCGUACUUAGUAGUAGCGAGGGGUAUAAAACCGCACUACUACUAUCAACAUAGUAGUAGCAUGGGUUUGUACCCCUCGCUACUACUAUGGCAUGUCCCGGGAGGGCAUGGUAGACACCGCUUAGUAGUAUCGAGGGUGAAAAACCCGCGCUAAUAGUAUCAACUUAGUAGUAGCGAGGGGUAAAAACCCACGCUACUAGUAAGUAGCAGUAGCGACGGUUAUAAACCCGCGCUACUAGUAAGCGUCUGCCUAUAAGCUUUUCCCUAGUAGUGGCAUAUCUAUGACAUAAUCAACUAGCGAGCAAUAAUAAGAUAUCUCAAACAACAACACGUUGUGAAAACAACCAUGAUAUAAUAUGACAAUAGUGGUAUCUCGCUAGCCCUUUCUAAGACCGCAAAACAUAAAUGCAGAGCACCUCCAAAGUUCAAGCAGCGACUAAACAUUGUAAUUCAUGGUAGAAAAGAUCUAGUCUUGAUGCACCCAACAUUAGCAACACAUAGUGCAUCAGCAUGACAACAGUGCUCUUUGGAUUUGGCACUUAUUUUAGAAGGUGAUGACACAACAUAAAAGUAAAUAGAUAGUCCCUUCGCAGAGGGAAGCAGUGAUUUGCAGCUGUGCCAGAGCUCAAAAUUUUAAAACAGAGGUAAAUGAAAUUUUGGGAAAUUGAUACGUAUCCAAUGUAUCUAUAAUUUUUUAUUGUUCCAUGCUAUAUUAUAUUAUGUUUUGGAUGUUUAAUAGGCUUAUUUAUACACUUUUAUAUUAUUUUUGGGACUAACCUAUUAACCGGAGGCCCAGCACAAAUUGCUGUUUUUGUUCCUACUUCAGUGUUUCGCAAAAAAAAGAAUAUCAAAUGGAGUGCAAACGGAAUGAAACCUUCGGGAACAUGAUUUUUGAAACAAAUGUGAUCCAGAGGACUUGGAGUCCAUGUCAAGCAGUCAACGAGGAGGGCACGAGGCAGGGGGCGCUCCUACCUCCCCCUAGGCGCGCCCUCCACCCUCAUGGGGCCCACGUUGCUCCACCGGCGUACUUCUUCCUCCUAUAUAUACCUACGUACCCCCAAACCAUCAGGGGCAUCCACGAAAACCUAAUUCCACCGCCGCAACCUUCUGUACACGUGAGAUCCCAUCUUGGGGCCUUUUCCGGCAUCCUGCCGGAGGGGGCAUUGAUCACGGAGGGCUUCUACAUCAACACCAUAGCCACUCCGAUGAUGUGUGAGUAGUUUACCUUAGACUUUUGGGUCCAUAGUUAUUAGCUAGAUGGCUUCUUCUCUCUCUUUGGAUCUCAAUACAAAGUUCUCCACGAUUCUCGUGGAGAUCUAUUCGAUGUAAUCUUCUUUUGCGGUGUGUUUGUCGGGACCGAUGAAUUAUGGAUUUAUGAUCAAGUUUAUCUAUGAACAAUAUUUGAAUAUCCUCUGAAUUCUUUUAUGUAUGAUUGGUUAUCUUUGCAAGUCUCUUCGAAUUAUCAGUUUGGUUUGGCCUACUAGAUUGAUCUUUCUUGCAACGGGAGAAGUGCCUAGCUUUGAGUUCAAUCUUGUGGUGUCGUUUCCCAGUGACAGCAGGGGCAGCAAGGCACGUAUUGUAUUGUUGCCAUCGAGGAUAACAAGAUGGGGUUUAUAUCAUAUUGCAUGAGUUUAUCUCUCUACAUCAUGUCAUCUUGCUUAAAGCGUUACUCUGUUCUUAUGAACUUAAUACUCUAGAUGCAUGUUGGAUAGCGAUCGAUGUGUGGAGUAAUAGUAGUAGAUGCAGGCAGGAGUCGGUCUACUUGUCACGGACAUGAUGCCUAUAUACAUGAUCAUACCUAGAUAUUCUCAUAACUAUGCUCAAUUCUAUCAAUUGCUCGACAGUAAUUUGUUCACCCACCGUAAUACUUAUGCUUUUGAGAGAAGCCACUAAUGAAACAUAUGGCCCCCGGGUCUAUUUUCCAUCAUAUUAAUCUUCCAACACAUAGCCUUUUCUAUUGCCCUUUUUAUUUUACUUUGCAUCUCUAUUUCUCUUUAUCAUAGAAAUACUAAAAAUAUUAUCUUAUCAUAUCUAUCAGAUCUCACUCUCGUUAGUGACCGUGAAGGGAUUGACAACCCCUUUAUCGCGUUGGUUGCGAGGUUCUUAUUUGUUUUGUGUAGGUGCGUGGGACUUGAGCGUGGCCUCCUACUGGAUUGAUACCUUUGUUCUCAAAACUGAGGGAAAUACUUACGCUACUUUGUUACAUCACCCUUUCCUCUUCAAGGCAAAAAACAACGCAAUGCUCAAGAGGUAGCAAGAAAGAUUUCUGGCGCCGUUGCCGGGGAGUUUACGCAAAAGUCAACAUACCAAGUACCCAUCACAAACUCUUAUCCCUUGCAUUACAUUAUUUGCCAUUUGCCUCUCGUUUUCCUCUCCCUCGCUUCACCCUUGCCGUUUUAUUCGCCCUCUUUUCCGCUCGCCUUUCCUUCGCCAUGUCGGAACCAAAAAGAGUUGGGGGUUCUCUCCCGAGUUUUAGUACUUUGGACGAUCCUUCUAUUCUAUCUAAACUCAUAAAUAAUGUCAUGGUAAAACCUGCCGGAGUUGUCAAUGAGAGUCUUAAUAAUUUUGAUGAAGAUGAUUCCGGAAUUUUUCGUUAUUUACUCGAUGAAUCUUUGAAAGAUGCUUGGGAUAGACUGUUAAGGAUCCGGGCUAACUAUGUGCCCCAAUACCAAAUUGUAGUUUACUUGAAGAGCUUUUAUGUUGCCCUACCUUCUUCGUUUAAGCAUGUCUUAGAUUCUAUAUUUGAAGAAGGCUUUCUUGAAGGGGAUGCCGUAGAUACUUAUGAAAAGAUGAAGACCAUAUUCGGGCACCCCAUGAAUGAGAAAAUUGAAUCUACAUCUCUUUUGCUCUCCAGUCCUUGGUUCAUGUAAAUCUGAAUCUAGCCGGCACUACCCCUUCACAAGCUGUUGCAUAGUCUUCAGCGAGGUGCGGCAUAACUUCCGUGUGAGGGGAAAUGAACUUCUCCAUGAAUACCUUCUCUCUCACCUUGAAAGCGGUAUAGUAGUAGCCUGGGUUGCACUUGAGCAAUCCAUUUUCCAUGAGAAACUUUACAACGUAGUACCUGGGUUUCAUCCAGCCCUCCAGCUUGUAAUUGAUAAUUAUUGACCGUUGAGCAACGUAGGUAGGUUCCAACCUGUUAGACUAUGUAUAGCUUCUGUACCUAUGUACGUAUAUGGUACAUAUUGUAACACAACCAUUAUAUAUAAUGAGAUAAGCCACCCCUAGAGGGUUGUGCUGGUUCCCCAAAACUUAUUGUCUUACAUGGUAUCACGCUAGGUUACGAUCGCUUCCGCUUCUAAACCCUAAUACCCGCACCGCCGCCGCAGCCGCCGCCGCCUUCACCGCCGCCGCCGCGCCACCGAUCGCGCCGCCGCCAUGUCGAGCGCUGCCACCACCGGUUCCACUGCUGCGGGCUUCCUCCCGGCCUCUCUUGCGGCUCUGCUCAACCUCCCGCUCGAUGCCGUCUCUGUUCCGGCUCCGAUCGGGACAAGGAGCAUCGGCUCCGUCUUCUCCAUGCCGCCGGCGCCCUCGCUUGGGCGUGACCUCGUGGUCCACACCGCGGCGCCGCCGUCCGCUGCGGACUCCGCAGGCAUCGUCCCGCCGCUCCUGCCGCAAGCGGAUCACACUGCCCCGCUGGCGGGGUUGGCGGCGUCCGCCCCGGCCGCGGGCCUUGCGGCGUCCGCACCGGCCGCGAGCUUUGCGGCGCCCGCCCUGGCUGCGGUCCCGCCUCCUCCCGCAUCGGCUUCGGUGCCUCCAGCUGCCUCCAUGGUGUUUGCACCCCAGGCAGCCUCCUCGAUGGGAUUGUCUUCGCCGCUGCCGUUUCACUUCGGUCAUCUCAUCACCAUCAAGCUCUCCGCCGACAACUACAUCUUCUGGCGUGCGCAGGUUCUCCCGCUCUUGGGGAGUCACUACCUGCUAGGCUACAUCGACGGAUCGCUUCCCUGCCCACCCGCGCUGGUAGACAGCAUGCACGGUCCGGUCUACAAUCCGGCCCAUCGCGUCUGGACGGGGCAGGACCAGGCGAACCUCUCCUCCAUCCAGGGGUCGCUCUCGCCGGCAGUUGUCGGCCUUGUUGUCUUCGCGAAGACGUCUCAUGAGGCCUGGACCAUCCUUGAGCACACCUUUGCAGCGCAGUCCCAGGCUCGUGUCUCUGCACUCCGUCGUCAGCUUGGAGAGUGUCAGAAGCUUGACUCCACUGCCACUGAGUUCUACAACAAGGUCAAGGGCCUCGCCGACACAUUGGCCUCCAUUGGACAGCCCCUCACCGACUCCGAGUUCAACUCGUUUAUUGUCAAUGGUCUUGAUGAGGAGUAUGAUGCCUUAGUCGAGAUCAUCAACGAGCGGGGCAACUCGACACCCAUGCUGGCACACGAGGUUUUCUCUCGGCUCCUUCUCACUGAGCAACGGGUCGAGACUCGCCGCACCAGGGGCACUGGCUCCCUCUCGGCCAACGCCGCCACCAAGGGUGGCCGCUCUUCUUCAUCACCCCGGUCUCCCUUGGGGCUGCCACCGUCGCCCUCCUCGGCCCCCCACCUACUGCGACCUUACCGGGGGCUGGCGUUCCACGUGUGUGUCAGCUUUGUGGCCGCGAUGGGCACUGGGCCUCCAAGUGUCAUAAGCGCUUCCAGCGAAGCUUCCUUGGUCUUGGCAAUGACGGCAAAGAUACACGCAACAAUGCCCGUCAGGUCGCCAUGGCUGAUCGUCCCGCGCCGCAGAAGCAACAGGGACACACUCAGUCCUACUCCAUCGAUCCACACUGGUACAUGGACUCUGGGGCGAUAGAGCAUCUAACCAGCGAGAUGGGGAAGCUUCACACUCGUGAACCCUAUCAUGGCUCCGACAAGAUCCACACCGCCAAUGGAGCAGGUAUGCACAUCUCUCAUAUUGGUCAAGCAUCUCUUCUCACUAGACAUGCCAAUAGGAGUCUUCAGCUUCGCAAUGUUCUUCGAGUUCCAUCUGUGACCCGUAAUCUUCUUUCAGUUCCUAAACUCACACGUGAUAAUAAUGUGCUUUGUGAAUUUCACCCUUUUGAUCUUUUUAUUAAGGAUCGGGGCACGAGGGACAUUCUUCUUAGUGGGCGGUUGUGCCAGGGCCUCUACCGUCUGGAGCAUCCUGGUGUCGCUCGUGUUUUCAGUGGAGUUCGGGUCUCUCCGUCACAGUGGCAUGCUCGUCUUGGUCACCCGGCCACACCUAUUGUCCGUCAUAUUUUGCGUCGUCAUGAGCUUCCUAGUUUGUCUAGUCAUAAAGAUGUAGCAGUGUGUGAUGCUUGUCAGCAGGGGAAGAGUCAUCAACUUCCUUUUUCGGAGUCCAGUCGUGAGGUGAAACAUCCUUUAGAACUUGUGUUUUCAGAUGUAUGGGGUCCUGCUCAGACUUCUGUCAGUGGUCAUAAUUACUAUAUCAGUAGUCGCUUUACCUGGCUUUACCUUAUUAAACGCAAAUCUGAUGUGUUUGAUAUUUUUGUUCAGUUUCAAAAACAUGUUGAACGUCUUCUCAAGCACAAAAUUGUUCAUGUCCAGUCAGACUGGGGGGGCGAGUAUCGCAACCUCAACUCUUUCUUUCAGUCGCUUGGGAUAGCUCAUCGUUUAGCAUGUCCACAUACACAUCAGCAGAAUGGUUCAGUCGAACGUAAGCAUCGUCAUAUUGUUGAAGCUGGUCUUACUCUUUUGGCCCAUGCAUCUAUUCCGUUUCGGUUUUGGAGUGAUGCUUUCACCAUUGCAUGCUUUCUCAUCAACCAUACUCCUACUCGUGUUUUAAACAUGAAGACUCCCAUUGAGGUUCUCCUUAAUGAACAACCUGAUUAUACCUUUCUCAAGGUAUUUGGGUGUGCUUGCUGGCCGCAUCUUCGUCCAUAUAACAAGCGCAAGCUUGAGUUUCGUUCUAAGAAGUGUGUUUUUCUUGGCUAUAGCUCUCUUCAUAAAAGUUACAAAUGUCUUCAUGUUCCCACUAAUCGUGUCUAUAUAUCUCGGGACGUCGUGUUUGAUGAGCAUGUUUUUCCCUUUGCCAACCUUCCUGUGUCCACUGUCGAACCACCAUCCCUGCAUUCAUCCUCUGUUGCUUCUGACCAAUUUGAUGAUGUUGCAUACUCUCCUUUGCUGUUACCUAACCAUCUCCACUGCUCGGUCCGUUUCGCCAGCGGCCGCCGAGUCGCCCGCGACUCGGCCCGUCACGCCGUCUUCGCCUGCGGCUCGGCCCGUCACGCCGUCUUCGCCCGCGGCUCGGGUCCUCAUGUCGCCUUCAUCAGCGGAUCGGCCUGCGACACCGGCCGCGCCACGGCCCACUAUGCCGAGCUCGCCAUCGGCCCGGUCUGUGAUGCCGGAGUCGCCAGCUGCUUCGUCUGCUCUGCCGGUUUCGCCGGUGGGUCGGCCUUCUUCGCCAACCGAGUCCGAGGCUACCGUGACUGGCUCCUCGUCACCGGCUGACUCGUCAACGUCGCCGUCCUCCAGCCCGUUGCAGGCUGCUCCGUCGACCUCGGUGGUUCCUGUGUCCCGACCACAUACAUGCAGUCGCAGUGGCAUUUUCAAACCUAAGGAACGUAAGGAUGGUACGGUUGCUUGGUUGGCUGCUUGUUUGGCUGCUGCUGUUGCGGAUCCAUCUUCUGAGCCUCGCUCAUAUCAGGCUGCCCUGCGCAUUCCACAUUGGCGAGAGGCUAUGGAGCAGGAGUUUCAUGCUCUUCUUCGUAACAAGACAUGGACUCUCGUUCCUCCACCACCACGGGUAAAUGUUAUUGAAUCAAAAUGGGUAUUCAAAGUGAAGAAGCAUUCGGAUGGAUCUAUUGAGCGUUACAAAGCGCGACUUGUUGCUCGCGGUUUUCGGCAGCGUCAUGGUCUUGACUAUGAGGACACCUUCAGUCCUGUCGUCAAGCCUACCACUAUUCGACUUCUUCUCUCCAUUGUUGUUUCUCGUGGUUGGUCACUUCGUCAACUUGAUGUGCAGAAUGCUUUUCUACAUGGAUUUUUGGAGGAAGAGGUUUAUAUGAAACAGCCGCCUGGUUUCUCUGAUCCUGAUCGUCCUGACUAUAUCUGUCGUCUUUCCAAAGCACUAUAUGGUUUGAAGCAAGCUCCUCGUGCCUGGCAUGCCUGCCUUGCCUCUGCCCUUCGUGCUCAUGGGUUUGUGCCGUCUACUGCUGACACUUCGUUAUUUCUUCUACAGAAGCCAGAAGUCACUAUGUAUCUUUUGGUAUAUGUCGAUGAUAUUAUCCUUGUCAGCUCUUCUCAGUAUGAUGCUGAUGCUCUUGUCUGCUCUCUUGGUGCUGAUUUUGCGGUCAAAGAUCUUGGGAAGCUUCACUACUUUCUUGGAGUUGAGGUCACUUCUCGUGCUACUGGUCUUGUCCUUACGCAGAAGAAGUACUCCUUGGAGUUGUUACAGAGAGCUGGCAUGCUGAAGUGCAAACCGACCACCACACCCAUGUCGUCUACCGACAAGAUAACAGCUGCUGAUGGUGAGCUUUUGUCUCCUGCGGAUGCCACAGAGUACAGGAGCAUUGUUGGUGGACUUCAGUACUUGACGAUCACGAGACCAGAUAUCUCUUAUGCUGUUAACAGGGUUUGUCAGUAUCUUCAGGCUCCCAGAGAUACUCAUUGGGCUGCUGUUAAACGCAUUCUUCGUUAUGUUCAGUUCAUCCUGACAUUUGGUAUGCAUAUUCGGCCGACUUCCUCUCGGGUCCUUUCGGCCUUCUCUGAUGUAGAUUGGGCUGGUAGCCCAGAUGACAGACGAUCCACGGGGGGUUAUGCAGUAUUCUUUGGCUCUAAUUUGAUCGCCUGGAGUGCUCGGAAACAAGCUACUGUGUCACGUAGCAGUACUGAAGCUGAGUACAAGGCUGUGGCUAAUGCUACUGCAGAGAUUAUUUGGGUGCAGUCUUUGCUUCAGGAGUUGGGUUUGUCUCAACCACAGCCUCCUAUUCUUUGGUGUGAUAACAUCGGUGCUACAUACCUUUCUGCAAAUCCAGUAUUUCAUGCCCGAAUGAAACACAUUGAAGUUGACUAUCACUUUGUACGGGAACGUGUAUCACAGAAGCAACUCCAGAUCAAGUUUAUCUCAUCUAAGGAUCAACUUGCAGACAUCUUCACUAAGCCUUUACCGCUGCCACAGUUUGAGGCUUGUAGGCGCAAUCUUACCCUUCUCAGUUCUUUAGAAAGUGGCUAAGAUUGAGGGAGGGUGUUAGACUAUGUAUAGCUUCUGUACCUAUGUACGUAUAUGGUACAUAUUGUAACACAACCAUUAUAUAUAAUGAGAUAAGCCACCCCUAAAGGGUUGUGCUGAUUCCCCAAAACUUAUUGUCUUACACAACCCCACCUCAGAGAUGAGGAAAUCAGACCUGCGCUGCAGUAAUUCCUUUGACUUCCUCAGCAGACACGGAGCGUUACACACAACAAUGCUCACCUCAGCGUCUGACCACCUGAACAUCUUCUUCAAGUAGGCCACAUUGGCGGCGAUCUUCUCCUCGCUGAGGAAUCUGACAGUAUCCAGCGUGUGCCUGAACAUCCUGAGCCACGAGGCAUGCCAAGGCCUUCGGCGCAUGCCACCAUCGCCCUGACGUGUUCUGGCUUGUUGCUCAGGACACCCCGCGCGCGGAGGGACAACUUGGUGAUAUCGCAAUCAUCUAGCCCGCAUUGCCGUAGGAGCGCGACGUUGGGUUUGACCAUCUCCUCGAUGCUGUGUUUUGGUUUUCGGUUUGCGUUUUUUCUCGCCCCUGAACGAGAUGGCCGAAAUUCGGCCAUUUCAAAAAUCUCGGUAAAAUCUCGGACGAAAUUACAAAACCAAAAUUUGAAUUUUAAACGAAAUUUGACUAAAAAUUGGCCGAAAUUCGGCCGAAUUUUUUGAAAACAAGCAGAGCAAAUGUACAGCAGUCGAACAACACUGAGGAGUACAUGUAUGCGUUACCAAACUAGCUUUGGGGAUUAAUAACUCCAAAAGAAAAGAUUGAAACAAGGAUACAGAGAGGUGAUCCAGAGUUGAGGAGUUCCCGAUGGAUUCAGCCGCAGCCCGCAGCCGGCAGAGGUCAGCAGCAGGGGCCGGUCGUAGGAACGGCGAGAACGGGGUAGGAGCCGCAUGCUCGAGCGGGGAGGCAGGUGCCGACGAGCGGAGGAGCCGCGUAUUGGCGCAUCGCCGCCGCCGCAAACACAGGGGCCGCAGGGGAUCGUGGUUAGUUUAGGGUUCACGAGUUCGGUUCGAUGCUUUUAAUCCAGGCAAACCGUGGGGAGGCCCAGAAGUUGGACUGGGCCAGAAAAAAGUUUCAAUCUGGGCCGAAAGUUUUGGCCGGCACAGACAUUUACCGGGUCGAGGCGAGAUGACCGAAAUUCGGCCGAAAAUUGUUUUUUUCGGCCGAAAAUCAAAACACAGCCUCGAUGUCAGCGCCGGCGAGGUAGCCUUGCUUGAGCACCCGGAAGAGGUUCUCCGAGGAGCCGAAUAGGAGCAGGUAGUACCGCAAAUUGGAAACAAUGGACCUGGAACAGAAGUGGGCGAAGGAGAGCGCGACGAGGCGCACGAUCUCAGUACGCGAGAGGCCGAGGCCGGUGAGCCCACGACGACGGGGGCUAGAGUUUUCUCUACUUUGGCGCAGAGGAACAACGGGUCCUUGGCGACGAGGGCGGCGACGUCGGUGCCGGAGAGGCCGAGGCCGGCGAGGAAGGAAAGGACGGCGUCGGGCUUGGACGAGGACUUGAGGUGGGAGAGCUUGGCGGAGGCCUUGAGUGCCUGGGGUCGGGUGAGGCCGAAGGUGGAGACGAGGUAGUCGUCGACGACGAAGCUAGGGUUUGGGGAAACGCCGGGCGCGGCGGCCGCGGAGAGGGGGCGGUGGAGAGGGGGGCCUGAGAGGUGGCGGGGGAAGAGAGGAGCCGCACGAGGAUGCAGCCACGGAGGCGGAGCAUGGCGGCGGCGGCGGCGGAGAGAUUGAUUCCCUAUGGAGGCGGGUGCGAAUGGGAUGGUGCUUCGGAGGCGGGGAUGCGGCGCCCCGGCGAGGCAGGUGAGGAACGGAGGAAGAGAACAGGAGGAGAGAUCGAAGAGGAUGGCACUUCGGCGGCGGCGGCGGCGCCGCCGAAGAGAUUUUCCGGUCCGCUGUGAGUGGAGAGGAAAAAUGGGAAAUGGCAGGUGCGAUGCGAAUGGAGGCUCCGCAAAUUGCAAUAUCACUGAAUCCCAGGGGUCUUUACGUCUUUCAAAAAUACAAAAUACAUUUAAAAAAACAUACAUAAUACAUUGAGCCUCAUGGAAACUUUCAUAUACACAUGGAAAAUAGAUAUCCCCUCCGUUUAAUAAUGUAGUGCAUAUAGAUUUUUGAAAGUCGGACUUUGCAAAUUAUGAUCAAAUUUAUAAAGCGAACUACUUAUACCUACAUUAUCAAAUAUAUAAAAUAUGAACCUACGUCUUAUGAUGAAUCUAAUGAUAUAUGCUUGACAUUCUAGAUGUAAAUGUUUUUCUUCACAAACUUGGUCAAAUUUUGUUAGAUUUGACUUUUCAAAAAAUCUACAUGCAAUCAUUAUGCAAUCGGUAUUAUAAGGAAAAUGACUUUGAGCGAUAAGAUUAUAUCACAAAAUAAGCUAUUAUACGACUUGUACUUAUCCUAUGAUUUUUUUCUGUAGGUAUAGUACUUCAUCCGUUUUUAUUUACUUUGCAUAUUAGAGUUGACUGAAGUCAAACUUUGUAAAGUUUGACCAAGUUUAUAGAAAAGAAUAUAAAUAUUUACCCUAACAAACGAAAAUCUGCAUCUGAGCCCGGGCUCAGAUGUUCCCGCUCAGAAAAAAAUUCAAAACAAAUUCUAGAAAAAUUCAAAUAAAUCCAAUUUUUUGUGUGGUAGAUAAUUUGAUGCGUGAGGCCCGCUUCAAAUUUCAACUCAUUUGGAUAUCUGAGGAGCUCUCGGCAAAAAAGACAAAUCGGAUCAAAACAGUUCGUGAACAAUAAACUUUUUUACAGACCCGAUUUUGUCUUUUUGCAGAGAGCUGCUCAAAUGUCCAAACGAGUUGAAAUUUGCAGCAAACCUCACGCAUCAAAUUAUCUAUCACACAAAAAAUGGAAUUUUUUUGAUUUUUUCUAGUAUUUGUUUUGAUUUUUUUCGUCGGAGCGAGUGCAGUUGAGCCCGGGAGCCAAAUUGGCUUAUAUGAUGUGAAAGUAUGUUCAAUAAUGAAUGUAAUGGUAUUGAUUUGUUAUUGUACAUGUUAAUAUUUUUGACUAUAAACUUCGUCAAAAUUUAUAAAGCUUGACUUUGACCAAAACUAAUAUGCGGAAUAAAUAAAAACGGAGGGAGUAAAUGGCUAUGUUUUUUUUUGUACGUAGUAAAUGGUUACUUUUUCUGAUUUUUUUUAAAUGGUUAUGCUUGCUAACCAAUCCAAUUCAAAUUAUAUGUCGCUCAAACGGAUGUAUCUAAUUAAUAUGGAUCGGAUGGAGCAGAAAAGUUCAUAUGGAUAUAUAUUUUCUCAAAACUUGAAAGUAUGAUUUCUACAAGUAAAAAAAAAUCAUAUGUGAACUAUGUUUGUUUUUAGCAUUUUGUGUGCGUUCAUGUUUCUUUUUCUCUCUCUUCAUUCUAGCCUCUUUUCCUCCACCUCACUCUGUUCUCACAUUGACAUUGUUGCCUUUUUCAGUGGACUCCUACCUAUCUUUUCUAACUUUUGCAAGGUGAGAAUUGAGAAGGUUAUUAUUCUUUAGUUUUAUGUGUAUAGCUAUCCUAGAGUCGAGAUCAAUUGCAUCGUGUCCACUUAUCCUCUAUAACACUAAGCUUCCUAGUUUUAAAAAGCCCACACUCAAUUAAGGUCUCCAAUUAGAAUUGGAUCAUCCGAUUUUGAACGGGUCAACAAUUUCUCAAAGCUUCAUAAUCCAAUUUUUUUAUACUAUACCAUAUGCUUCCUAAUUUUUAAGGCCUCACAAUUAAUUAAGAUAUUCAAUAUAGAUUGAUCAUCCAAUUUUGACUGGGUCAACAAUUUCUCAACCUCUCCAAUUGAAUUCUUUUAAUUCACUAUAUUCCAAAAUUUUGAAUCUCUUUCAUUCAAUUGAGGUAUUCAAUUUUGAUUUGGUUGAAGAUUUUGAGUGGGCCAAUGAUUUUCAAAUCAAUCAGCUGCAACUGACCUAUAAAAACAUAUCAAUCCCAUGCACCCUUCCACCACAUAGAAAAAAGAAACGUCACCAUGUGAUAUUGUAGUAUCAAUAUAGUACAUGCAACCACCAACGCAGAAAUUUUUCCACAUAAAUAUAGGUUGGUUAGCGGAUGACACAGUCAUCUCCCCACCCGCCUAACUUAAUAUUCCAUCAGUUAUAAAAUAUGAAGGGUAUUAAUUUUGUAGAAAGUAAAACUUCUUUAACUUUGACCAAGUUCAGAGCAAAAAUAUCAACAUCCACAAUAUUAAACAAAAAAAGUAUGGAAAUUCAUUUCGUGAUGAAUCUAAAAAUACUGAUUUAAUCUUAUGAAUUUUGAUAUAUUUCUCUCAAAUUUGAAAAAACUUAAAAGGUUUGGCUUUUCAAAAAAAUACACCUUAUAUUAUGAAACAGAGUGAUUAGUUUCUUAAGAUACCCAAUAACAUGAACGGCGCAGCAAAGCGCGCAGAACCCUUCUAGUUAGUAGUAUAUCUAAGAACAAUUAGCAUCCCAUUGAUGAUCGAUAAACCUUCUUAGUCCAGCUAGUGGUUGGUUGUCUAGAGUAUAGCUGGCCAAAUGGGCCGGUUUUUUCGGGUCGGCCCGUGAGCACGCCGGCACGGCCCACCUUGGGCCAGGCACGGCACGGGCCAAACGAGCCAGGCCCAGCACGCGGCACGCCCUAGGCCGUGCCUGGGCUGGAGGCUGGGCAUGCGGGCCGGCACGGCACGGCCCGAUUAUGUUUUUUAUAUUUGUUAUACAUUUAUAUAUGAUCCAACAUGUAAAAAUAAGCUAAAAACGCUCAAUGCGUCAAAUAAUAGGCUAAAAAUAUGCGGCCCACCGUGCUAAAUGGGCCAACGUGCCGGCUCGUUUACUAACGGGCCGUGCCUGGGCCUGGGGGCGCAGCACGCGGGCCGGCACGGCACGGCACGUAUAGUAAUCGUGCCCUGGCGGACCGUGCCGGACCAGGCACGAUUAUGAUGGGCCGGGCCAUGCCGUGCCGGGCCAGCCCGUUUGGCUAGGUAUGGUCUAGAGAUCUAUAUGGAGUCAGUUGAGAUGGGAUGGUCAGCCAAGUGGGUUGAUCAAUGCUCCUCUUAAAAUUCGAAGCCUAAAGUAGAUGUGCUACUCGAGAAAUAAAAAGACCAACGUAGACCGUACCAACAUCUAAUAUUUGACGUCACAUUUAAAUUUGAUACUAUUCAUACCCAUAAUUGUCCCUUUGCUCAUCGAAUUAUGCAUCUUAUAUAAAUGUUGUAAAUGAUCAAUUUUUAUAAUAAUUUUAGGGUUGUAGUUCGGUGCAUAGGUAGCUCAGAGGAACCAUAGUCAUCGCUUCCUCUCCAAAAAAGCUUAGGGUUCCUAUGCCUCCCGCUGGCGCAGCUGCCGGUCCACCUCGUCUCCGGUGGCCCUAGGGUCAUGGGGACACGGUGAAUCUCAUCCCUUACCAGAGGGCUUCGUUUUUAGACGUUUCUUUGAAUUUUGUUAGGGUUGUGUCUUGCUAAUUAAGGAGGGCAAGACAACGACGGCUUCCUGAAGAUUGAAUAAGAUUCUCCCCGCCUAGCCCCCGUCUCGAUGGCGCAUCUAACAUCGUCGAAGAGUGUGUGGAGGUGUAUCUCCGCCAGAUCUCGCAGGAUUCGGUAGGUGGUUUGUCUUUGGUGGAUCUACUCGGACCCGGUCUUCGUUCGUCUACGUUUGUGUGUCGCUAGAUUGGAUCCUUCCGAUCUAUGGGUCUCUUCAUCGGCGGGGGUUGCUAUUCUAGUGCGCUGGUCCUACGAGGCCUUAGCACGACAAGUUCCCGACUGUGUACUACAAUAAGUUCUGCCCGGCUCCGGGGAGGGAAGGGCGAUGACGACGGUGCGUCUUCGGCUCGUUUUAAUGCUUGUAGUCUUUGCUAGAUGGUCUAAGGAUGAAUGUGAUUUUUAUUAUUCCUAUUGUUCAUUGUAUUGUCAUGAUUGAAAAUGAAUAUAUCAAAUGAUUUCUCAUAGAAAAGAAGCUCAUAAGAACCAUUAAAAGGACAAUCGUGUGGUCUCCCUAGACUUUUUUUUAGAAAAGGAGGAAGACCCCCGGCCUCUGCAUCUGAGCGAUGCAUACAACCACUUUAUUAAUUAUUCUCAAAAGACCUUACAAAGAAAUACAACAAUAAGUCUGAAGCCAUCAUCUAGGCAACAUCUGUUGCUACUCCUAUUCAUUUGAUGAAGGGAUGCUGAUAGUCUGGGCUUAAUACCAAACAGACCUCGCAGCCAAACCUAACAUCUAAGACCUGAGUUCCCAUCCAGGACGCCUGCCGGGUAUGGGUCACCCACCGGUCCGGCACACUCCUCAACAUGGACGCCUGCCGGGUAUGAGGCCGCCGCAGCCACCUGCCACCAAUCCAUCUUCAGAGAUGUAGUGUUGCAUCUACCUUGUCCGGUCUAGCUGCCGUCGACGCCACCACGAUGCCAGACAACGCCACCAUCCUGCGCUCGUCCAUCAACACACGCCCAGCAGCAAGAUCCCGCUGCUCUAUGCCCCUGAGACCCGCCAUUGUCGACGUAUCAGAUGCAACGCCGCUCCUCCUUCGCGAACACCACCUUCUACCACUGGUCCUAUCCCCUCCACCUGUAGAUCCUCUGAACUCCCAACCGAGCCCUAGUGCCCCUGACGACACCUCCAGGAAGGUCACGACGCAAAAAGCGCCGCUGCCGCCAGAUCCGAAAAGGAUUGAAGGUUUUCACCCGGCCGGGGAUCGGGGUGGAUAGAUUGGGCCCUCAGCUGCGCCUUCAUGAAGGAAAGCGGCACCCAUGAGCGUCGCCGCCGCCGGGCCGGCUAGACUGGCCAAGGUUUUCCCCGGACCCAAAGUACACCACCAGGGCUGACCACCACCGGAGCCUGCAGCCGUAAACCACCAGGACGACGACAGAGGCAGCAGGAGAAAGGGGAACCAUUAAAAGGACAAUCGUGUGGUCUCCCUAGAUGGUCCUUGGAGGGAGCGAUGCAAUUUCAUUUCCUUUUUAUUGCAUUCUCAUGGAUCUAUGGGAUACACAGAUUUGGAAUAGCCAUGCGUUAUAUAGGUUUGGAAAAGAUGAAUGGGCAGGACAAAGCCCAUCAAGGUCCACAGUUGGACAUGGUAUUUUUCUCUUCCCUGAUCUUGUGUGGUUGUUACAUUACAACGAGGACUAGAUGCAUUCAUGAACCUGAGGAGACUAUAUACGGUGAUUAUAUCGUGGCUAUCAUAUUUACCUAUUUUACAAAGAAUGAUCGGAUAUAAUUUACUGGUACAAUCCAUUGUGUGCCUUUCACGCUUCCGUCAGUUUAAUUUCCUCACAUUUUAAGUAGUCUUGUGAAGUUGUGAUCAGGUAGCUCGCAAUCUGAAUUUCUGUAAUGAAUUUUUUUUGGUCCAACGAGUAAAACGUAGACUUGGUGACCCUCAAAAGGGAUGAUAUUUUACAUAACGAGUAAAUCAUGAUGUCCUUAGAUAUUUCUUAUGAGUAUUUCUUCUUUUCUGCGGAAAAGUUUCUUGUCUUCCGAACUCUUGGAUGUGGGCAGAACUCUUGAUGAGCCGAGGCACCCGCGGCAUGCCAUUGUGAGUCAAGUUUGCCAUUGUUUGAUGGGAAGUUUUCAAGUGCUACAUGUAGAAGGACGCUAUAGUGGCUGCAAUCUUGCUGCUAAGUGACACGUACUGUCACCCUGUUUCUAAUGAAAAAAACUGAAGAACAAUGACUCAUUUAAACAUUGUUCAAUUUUGUGGUUCAUGAGCCUUUUCUUCAAAGUUUACUUAAAAGUUGGGUUAUUAGGUAAAAAAUGGUUCCUUUCCUUUUGUGCUUGCAAUUUAUUGUCCUGACAAAAACACUUUUUAUUGCAGUGCUAAGAAAAUGCGUCUACUACUUGACUGAACUAAAUACUCUUGAUAGCAAACCCUCUCUGGGCAUAUUCGUAGAUUCAAGGUGAGGAGACAUGCCAGCAUACAGACCAGCAACAUACAUGGCACAUGUACGACGUUCUAACAAGAGCAUAAAGUUGAUUGAUUCUUGAUAGCAUCACCUGAAUAUAUCACUCACGGAUUCAUGAAUGUUCCCCGUUGCAAUGCACGGCCAUUCACCUAGUAAAGGCAAUGAUUUGUUGGUAGUAGAGGCAUCUCAUGUUUCAAAGGGUUAAACCUUAGCCGUCGUGACCCGGCUCCAUGGCUGGGUCAAUCUCGCACCUCUGUUGGUGCCGAACCCUAGGCAAAUUCCCCCAAAUCUCUUGUUGUUUCUAUUGAUUGACCGAAUGUGAGGAGCAAUAGUAGAUCAAUAACUCUCGUAUAACCGAGGGAAAAAGAAAUGAAGAGAAGUUGGCGAAAGUAUCAAGUGGUACAUCUACUUUUUAUAACAUCACAUGAAGCCGGCGAAAAGGAAAGCCGAUCAACGAAGAAACUGCAUAGGGGACCUAUCAUGAGUGAACAUUGCGUGGGCGCCAUUGGCCGCAUCUCAUCAUCUUGUUGUGUAGAAGAAGAAAUGACUGCCGAUGCUGCUGGUGCCUCCAUCUCUAUGACCUUGCCGUCCAAGCCCGCAUUAGCAACAAACACGUAGCACUAGAGCACGGGAGGAGAGUUGAUCAGGGAAAUCGCCUUUCUUGACGACAGGAGAAUUAGUGAUGGGCGACUCCACGCGACGCUGAUGUGAUUUCAGGCCACACUAAAGGAUGUCGGAGAAGGGGGCCAUAGGACGAACUCAACCGCAUCGGUAGUGGGCUUGGUGGAUAUUGUGUCGAGGGCUCGGGGACGCACUCGGUGAUGGUGGUGGACCUCGGGGAGGGGGGCCUCAUACACGUGGAUGCAGGGGAAAAGAGGGUGCACGGGCUUGAAGGCAUUACUCAUCCACCUCUUCUGGCAAAGAGAGCUCAUCGGGGCCAACCGCGUGAAGGAGGAGCUUGAGGUAGCUUGGAGGAGGCGACGACGACAACCAGAUCCAUCUGGCAAGCCAGAGUGGAGGCAUCCCACGUGGGAGCAGUGAUUUCGGUGCCUAAGCUUAGAUGCACCUGCUAUUAUGUUUGUUCAUUGCUGCAUGGAGAUUCAGGAAAUGGGGCAUGAGGUGGCAUUGCUAGGGCGUGGAAAAUCCCCAAAAUGAACUAUACAUGCAUGAAUAGUGUGAUACAUGUGGGUCUAUCGUGUAGCACACGAGGAGGGUUCGAACGAAGGACAGACGGUGCCAUCUUGGUUGGAUUCUGAUCCAUGGCACCUAAUCGUCUGCAUUCAUCUAAGUCGUGGCUCACUCUGCUGCCUGUGGCAUGACUUUGACACUUUGAAUCCGAGUCAUGGCCUAAAGAUUUGUGUAGCUCCAGUUGGGGCCUGCGGUGUAGGAUCGUCGGUACGCACACCGAAUGUCAUCCACGACCGACGUCGGCCAACAGAUUGCUAGCUUACUAGACGCUACAAGAGGUAGCGUCCUUCGUGAAGUUUGUGUGCUUCAACACCAACCAGGUCAUCCUAAGCCGUCAUGGACAACCCAUUCAUCUACGUGGUUGACUUCAACAUUGGAGACGACUUCUCAUGGUCGUUGCUCAUGUCACACCUUGCUCACCAUGGCAACAAGCUGUUUCAUGUCACGUCACUUGCCACCACAUUAAUGCACCGCGCGGAUACGCAUGCACCUACAAUCGUGCAUGGUGUCCCUCAGAGUUCACGCGCGUCCCUAGGGGCUCCCAUUCCAGUACGACGAGAAGGACCUCCUGGUCUGGGCUGGAAGUCACGUAAUGGUACCUACAACAAUCUCGAAAAGAGUAGAAGGCCUGGAUUUCGAGAGCAUCUGAGCUCGCACUUAGAAAUCUAUUUUUGUUCCCACGGUCCAUACAUAGAGAGAAACUAGAAAAGAAAAUGCAAAACACGCAUACAUGCAUGCAUGCUUCCACAAAUGGGUUACCAGAUACCUUUCUGGGGCUCUGGUGACCUCACAUUCAUUGUUGACCCCUUACGACCUCACAAUCAUGGGAGAGAUUUCAUGACCGCACACUGUCUCUAUAAAAGCCUAUCACCUCUAUGAAUCAUGUGGCUCCAUCAUUUCAAAUCCUCCGCGCGCCUAAGAUACCACUUGAGAAAUUACUAAUGGCCAACGGAAAGAAUGUCAUGGCCAUGUUGUUUCUCACCACCAUUGUGGCGGUGGCGGCCACAAGGCCAGCCGAGACCUAUGGCGCUGCGGAGGAGAACACAUUGAAGAUGGCUACCCCCAGCAAGAAAGGGGUUGACGCUACCUUAGCAGCUACACGUGUUGUUGCCGCCGAGAAGUCCAUCAAGAAGGCUGAAAGCGCCACCACACCAGAAGAGGCCGCGACUGCCAAGCAAGAUGGAGCAAAAUCUGCUUCUGCUGCAUUAAAGUACAAUGCCAUCUCUCAGCAGGCAAAUGGUAAAGGUUCUUCUACCUCCCUAGGCAGGAAAGAAGCAGCCGGUACUUUAGCCGCCGCACACUAUGCCGCCGCCGAGAAGUCCAUCAAGAAGGCCGAAACCGCCAAGACACCUGCAAAGGCCGUGGCUGCCAAGCGAGACGCAGCAAAGUCUGUUGACAAUGCAUUAAAGUAUGAUGCCAUCUCUCGGAAAGCAGCUGGUACAAGUUCUUCUACCUCCCCCAAUAGGAAAGAAGGCACCACUGAUGCUGCUAAGAUGUUCACCAAGAAGGCUGAAACCGCUACCACACCUGAAGAGGCCGCGAAUGCCAAGCAAGCUGCAGCCAAGUCUACCGCUGCUACAUCAAAGUAUGGUGUCAUUUCUCAGCAAGUAGCUGGUACAAGUUCUUCUACCUCCCCUAGCAGGAAAGAAGCUGCCGGUACCUUGGCAGAUGCUCACAUAGCUACUGCCGAGAAGUCCAUCAAGAAGGCUGAAACCGCCACCAGACCUGAAGAGGCAGCAUCCGCUAAGAAGGAUGCCGCGAAAUCUGAGGCUAAUGCAAUGCAGUACGGGGCCAUCUCUCAGCAGGCCACCGGCAAAAAUGGUGCCUAAGUGGUGCCUUAAACACCUAUUCACGCGCAACAUCAUCUACAUACUACCAUGCACGCAAAAUAGCAGCAUUGAGAUACCACGUUAUGCUAAUUCUCAUGCAUGCAUGCUUUGUUUAAACGUUCACAUUAUGAAUCAUGUAUUAAUGUCUUGCUUGUUUUAUUUUUAGUAGUAAGACACGCUUGACUUGCUUUAAAAAAAAUACAACAAUCGAUGUAUACAUGUAUCAUCUGAAAAUUAAUAAUAUGAGUUCCACCACAAUUUGUGUCUUUUUGUCAUAUUUUGGGUGCAAUCAAUGCACACAUCCAAUACACAAAAUUGGACGAGUCAAUGUGUUAUGGCUCCAUGGAGCGGCGAAUCAUGUUUUAUUGUCUUGCUUGUUUUACUUUUAGUAGUAACUAGAUGACCUGUCACGCCAUUUGGCGCGCAAGACAAACUUGAACCAAGAACUAAAAGAGAUCUCUUUGCCUUUUUUUAGCAUACAGUUUUGAUGUAUACUUGUUUAUCAAGUGCUAUGAAUCAAUAUAGAAAUAUUUUGGAUUGUUUGUUGUGUAGGAAAGGCGAAAGCCCACUAUGAACUGAAAGCAAUUAUUUUGAUAAACUUAGGAGUGCAAGUGGGUUUUUAUCAUAUAAUGGCCUUGCUUUCGAGUGUACAUGAUAUUGAAAGAACAUAAAGAUUUGAUAUCAUAGAUAGCCAUAUACGCGAUUCAAAUAGUUUUUGACACAAGCGAUACAUUGCAGUUAUGUUAGUACUACAUGGUAAGAUAGGAUGAAAUGUUUGGAUUUGUUGGCAAUUGAUACAUUGUUCUUCCACAAGGAGAGAUUGUGUCCAUCUCUAUCACUCGAUUGGUAGGUCUCAUGGUCUUUGAUGGUUAAAUGGAGCCUCUUGACAACUUCUGCAAGCAUGUUUUCUCCUGUUUAUUUCACCAUGGAUUGGUGACAGCUGAAACACAUAGAAGCAGUAUAGAUUAAUGUCCUGGAAUUUAUCAAGUGAAAUAUAUGACUACACUUUUGAAGAUUCUCUAUGGGCAAUGUAGAAGAUCUAAGUCAGGCUGCUAAACCAACUACAAAAAUAAUAAUAUUUAGGCAAUAUUUCAAGUGAAUGGGUAAGGAAUUAAUAAGAUGGAGAGCUGCACUAUCAUCAUUAACAGAAGGAAAAAGCAUAGACAAUGAAGAAUAUUUGUCUCAGUUCAGAACAUACAUGAACAUGACUAUAGACACACAAGAUUUAUUUUCCACAAUAUGCACAAUUUAAUUUAAAGAAAUCCAUGUUGCUUUAUAGUAGGAAGAACACACCUGCAUUGACAAAAAUACAAAAAUGUAAGAUCCGAGUAAAUAUACAGAUAGGCGACACAAUAAAAUGUAAGGCAUGUCAACAUAGAGCACUGUGUCCAGGAGCAGUUCUUAGGAAUAGCAGUCAAAUACAUCAUAUAGUAAUGGGAUCCAACACAAUCAACCCAUGGUACCUUUUCUACAGAAAAAGCAUAAAAAAAUAUGAUAUAAAUGUUUCUUCUGAUCUUCUCUACCUAAUAUUAUCUGUCUGAUCUUCGUGACUAUGAUCAGUCUGAUAAAAUAUGCAAGCCAUAUGAUUACUACGAAAAGGAUGGACACAAAUUUGUGAGCUUCCUUGUGCACAAAUCAGAAUUCAUGUGUGUGGUUAUCAUUGGUAUACAUAGUGCUGACUGGUCUCUUAUACAGCAAGGUAGACGCAGAAGGCAGAGUAGCCUGUGAAAAUCAAAGUUACUGGGUUGCAGCUUUUUAAAUAACCAUGCUUUGCAACAACAGAAAAAAUCACUUUAAAUCUAUGAGAGAAAAUAAUGUAUUACCGACAGUAUGGAGGGGAGGAUGAAGGAGCAGCUCCCUCACUACCUCCUCUGGCCGCCUCUUCAAUUUCAUAGCCAUUCUCACAACCACUUUGAAAUAUGAAAAGGUUGAAGUACAUAAUAAUAUAGGAAAAAUAUUUUGCAGCCAUUAUCCCGAGGUGCACUCUUUUGACAAUGAUAAAUAUUAACCAUAUAUUGGAUAAUGAAAAGUACAACACAUAAGCAUACACUCCUUAUCACCAACAAUAUUUAUCAUUAGCCCCCAAAAAAGUCUCAAAUCUCAUGUGCGUGACUUAGAGCCAUGAUACAUACCUACGGACAAGUGAAUAAUUAAUAGGCUAUGCCUACGAAGAACAAACAAUAAUAAAACAACAUCUGACAUGGUAGAUUGGUAAAGAAUAGAAACAAUUACCCCUGUGAAAUAUUUUUGUAGCACUUAAUGCUUCAUGACACGGCAGGAGUAUCUAUCAUUGGUGUCACAUGCCUCAGAGCCAUCCACAACUUGAUGGAACAUUCACAAUGUACCAACAUGAUGAGAGCCUGUAUUACAUACAUCUAGCAUUAUUCACCAGUUGCGAAAAUGGAUACCAAAGAACAGCCAACUUAUCAAAUUUGUUGAAAAGUAAUCCAGAAAUUGAUGCCUAAUGAUCAGACUCAGGCCUCAGUACAAACAACGCCGUAUCGUUUUCUACCUCCAAAAGUAGUAUAUAUGUUUCAGUGGAAACCACAGAAGCUCCAGCAGCAAUAAAUAAAAUAAGGGGAACCAAAUAAAGAGGCAUUCCUCUGACGAGUUAACAUACCUCAACACACAUUCCCCGGAUCUCUCCUCUCGGAUAGAGACCAGCCGAAUUUGUCCCAUCGGAUGCCACCAGUAUCUGAUCAAGACCAGCAGUGACAGAAAAGAACCAAUUAUAACAAUGACAAAUCAUUGAGCUAGCAGACAAAAAUGAAGGAGCCAGUAAAAUGAACAAUCAAAAUGUACAGAGAGCUAAGAUGCUAUAGGAUGGAGGCGACUACGAUACUAUGCCCAAAUUUUGUUAUUUAUAUUGGCCUAAUUAUUUGACGCGGAUCUUUGAUGUAGCUCUGCAUUCAAACUGCUAGUCUGCGGCAACAGAAACUGAAACUAAAAAGAUCAGAAAUAAGGGGACAAAUAUUGUACAAACCAGCGAAUAGCUUCUUGAACCAAGCUUUAUAUUGACAGCAUUAAUCUUGACGCGUGCGCUCGUGGUUGGACUCACGGAGCUGGCCGUUCGUGGCUGGAUGGUUCACGCGAAGACUUGGCCAGGUCAUUCGUGCCGUGCCGCCGUAAGUGGAGCAGCUGGGUCAGCCAAGCCGUUGGCGUGCAUGUAGUGCGGACGUGCGUGGGCGUGCAUGUAGUUAGUGGUUAGCUAAUGCGUGUGGGCAUGGCUUAGUGGCCGGUGCAUGAGCUGUGUAUGUGCGCGUCUACUACUUAAGGUGCUGGCAGGUGGUAGAGCUAAAGUAGCUAGAGAGAGAUGAUGUAGCCUCUGGGAGUGUAUGUGCGCUCACGGUGGGGUGGUGUGCGUGUGGCAGAGUUCGAGCUCGCCGGAAAUAAAAGGGGUUGUUCGUGCGGCCGGAAGCGUUUGUGUGCCGGGAAACCUCGUGUCCUCUCUCUCUCUUGUUUCUUCCUUGUCUCCGGUGAUCGCAGUGGUUCAGUGGUAGGCUAGACAACAACAUAUAUAUCAUCUUGCAUAAAUGGCAAAGUCUGUACUAAUUGAUGCUCUUACCACAAGAAUAGAACUACUCAACUAAAAAGACAGGUGUACGUAUAGAAAAGGAGAGAGGGGAAGGGGCAGACGAGGGAGUGGAACCUUGAGGUGCAAGGGCACGAAUCUAGUUGACAUCAGGGCUUGACUAUUCUACUAUUACUACUGGUGGCCAAGGAGCAAUCCAGCAAUGGGAGUUAGAACAGCACCGCACCCGACAUUAGUGGCACGUGGUCAAUUUCACAAGUGCUUGGACAUCCCCAAUUCAAUGUGCAGACCAAGUGGAAUGAGAACCGAAAAGGAUACAAAGGAGCAAUAUUUCCUGAAAGAAUGGCUGGACCAACUAUUUGUUGGCUGCAAGCGGUCGUGUGAUGUUACAGCCUAUAGCUCCAACGACUCAAGACCAAACUCAUUAGGUAGUCGUUCAGAUUUUUUUUCAAGAAGGCCAUGAAGAAACACUAAAGGAAGAAAAGCUAUCAGCCAACAUACUGGAAAAGCACACAUUUUUCCCUAUAAGAAGAAACUCAAAGUCCUGGCCCAACCAGCCAGAGAAGAUAAAGGACAAGCAGGAAAACAAAUAACCUGGCAACUCAUAUUUCCACAAAGCCAAAAUGAGUGUUAGGUAGUUAUCCUGACAAAAGCUCAGUCUCAAAGGCAUUUUCCUAAGUAUGUCUUUAACAAAUACUCCAACAAAUGUAGAAUUGAAUGAACGGCUUUUGGAACAACAAGAAAUAAACUUAGCAGCCUGCUGUUAAGGUUGGUUAUUCAUAAAUAAACUGAAAUUUUUUUGGCGGUAAUAUUCAGAAGGUAGAAUAAAAAGGCAAUGCAGAGUAUUUGGAAUGAAGAAAACAUAUAUUGUUGUACCAAAUGGCGCAAGUUACAAAUUUAAAUGGCGAGUUAUUUGCACCCAAAAUUCAUAAAUUCUAUCAUUCUAAAAGUACAAAAGAUUAUGUGAGCUCUAAAGGGUACAAUACAUUUCCGAGUAGUUUGAUCGAUCAUCUUGCAAAAUUAGCUCACGGAAAAAGGAUGACAAAAAUGGAAAUACAGUUGAUCUUGUGCAACGGUGGUAACAAAAAUGAGUAACUUUCAAGGAAACAAACAAUUUGUAAGUAACAUAUAUAAUCUGACAUCUAAUUCUACCGAGAUAUUUGCAUAAAUAUGUGAUGGAUAACCUGAGUUUCUCGAUAGUAAUCUCCUAGGAACUUCAAUCUCUGACGGGAAGCAAACUACAUCAAUCCCUGUCAGGAACCAAGCAACCUCACUGCAUAUUUUUGUAGAGAUGAAGGCUUGUAACCAGCAGGAGCAGUGCAUAAUUUGCAACCACGCUCACGACCUGCAUAACUAAUAGAUGGUCACUCUGCAAAUGACAGAUAAGAAAUUUAUAAUGAAAAGAACUGAUGCAUCCCAAAUGGUUGAUAUGUAUGCUGACAUAUAAGCAACUACUACCUUGCUAUUGCACUAACUACCACUGAAGCACGCCGACCAUUGGCAAAUAGCAUGUCUAUCAAGAGAUUUGCAAUGACAACUUCUUUUGCUAAAUUUAAUCAAGUCAUCUGUGCAUCAUCAUUAGUGAUCUACGUCACACACAUCUUCUAGUAGCCUACAACUGAUACAUGCACCUGUAAACAUGCUGCUGUUUUUACCUGGUAAAAUAGAUAGCGUUACAAUUUAUUUAUUUUUGCCAUGUGCAAACUGUAUCAUCAACUUGUAUGAAAAAAGCAAUAUUUCAUCACGAUCACCAUCAGGCAAGUGGGUCCUUCACAAAAUAAGCAUUGUAAAGACAGUAAGAACAACAUACAUAUGCUGACGCAUGCAAAGGAAAUAGACCACACACAUGUUUGGAUGAAUAUAUAAUCAAUCACAGACCUUUCAAUUUAGAAACACAAUGACAAGCUAGCUCAAGAUGAAUCGAUUUACAUAUUUUCAACCCCAGAAAGAGGGCAUAAAAAACAAAUGUACUAAAUUUAAGAAGCAGUCAUAAAGUAACUAAUAUCUGAACUGGAGCUAUAUUUCAGUUAGAAGAAAAGUACCAAGUAUUAACACAUUUUUUCAUGCAGGAGUAGAAACAUACAAAGGCAUACAUACCCAUGAAUGGUAGUCCUUUCUUUAUAGGAAUGGAAUUUCUAGGAUAACAAAUAGUGUAUGUGUUUUCGGGUUUGUAGUGUUAUAAAUUUGAAUGGUAUCAAUUUUCUCUCCCGUAAAGAUUCUUCAACAUUUAUUCAGCUCAGCAACAAUAUUUGGUGGCAUCUGAGCUCUAUUGUGAGUUGCAGCAAAGUUGUCGUGAACUGUGGAGAUCCACAAGCAGCGCCGCAUGUACAUGGGCAAUAAAUUUAAAUAAGAAAUUUGGUUUUAGCCAUGAAUAUCAAUAGUAGUUGAGAUAUAUAUAUUUAAUUCACCCAAUGUUCAAUUAACAUCUGAACACAACAUGUGUAAGUGUGACCCUUAAAAAAA
rnacentral:lncRNA from 1 species